AAAAAAAUGGCAGAAGCUUUUGCAGCCGAGAUUGCAAAAUCCCUUUUAGGGAAGUUAGGCUCUUUCGCUGUUCAAGAAUUUCGUUUGGCAUGGGGACUUGAAGAUGACCUUGCACGUCUUGAAGAGAGAUUGAAAGCCAUCAACGCGGUGCUGUCCGAUGCUGAGAAGCAACAAUCAAAGAAUGAGAGGAUUCGGCUCUGGCUCCAUAUGCUCAGAGAAGUCUUGUAUGAUGCAGAGGACGUGCUGGACGAAAUCGAGUGCGAAACUUUGCAAAGGCAGGUGGUGAAAACUAAAGGGAGCACCAGCAGAAAGGUACGGCGCUUCUUUUCAAGCUCUAAUAUGAUUCCAUUCAGUUUUAAAAUGGGUCAUAAGAUAAAGAAGAUCAUAGAAAGACUAGCUGAGAUCUCAUCUCUUAAGUCUGACUUCAACCUCAGCGAGCAGGCUAUUGAUUGUAGUCAUGUCUUGCAUGAGGAAACAGGGAUGAACCGAUCCUUUGACAGCUUUUCCGGUCUUAUCGGAAGAGAUGAAGACAAAGAACGCAUCAUCAGCCUUUUAGAAGCACCUUUUAAGGUUGGUGGUGCACAUCCUCUUGUCCUUCCGAUUGUAGGAAUGGGAGGCUUGGGGAAGACAUCUCUUGCCAAAUCGGUGUGUGAUGCUGAGAAUGUAAAAAGUCAUUUUGAUCUGAAUAUGGAGGUAUGUGUUUCAGAUGAUUUUUCCUUGAAACAAGUGAUACAAAAGAUUAUUAAAUCUGCAACUGGGGAAAGAUGUGCGGAUUUGGAUGGGGGUGAACUUGAAAAAAAACUUGAAGCUAUUCUGAAUGGUAGGAAAUACUUGUUUCUUUUGGAUGAUGUAUGGAAUGAAGAAGCUCAAAAAUGGUUGUUGUUGAAGCCUUUGUUAUCAAAAGGUGCUGGUGGAAGUAAGAUUAUAGUAACUACCCGUAGUCAACGUGUUGCUGAGAUUAUGGGUACUGUUCCUGCGUACAACCUAAGUCUUCUUGGUCAGGAGGACUGUCUGUCGUUGUUUUACAAGUGUGCAUUCAAGGAAGGGCAAAUGGAGUUGUAUCCAAAUUUGGUUGGAAUUGGGAAAGAAAUAGUGGAAAUGCAAGCAAGUUCCUCUGGCAGUGAUUAACUUGGGGACUCAACUGUAUGGUAAGACUGAUGAAAAAGAGUGGGAAUCGGUGAGAGACAGUGAGAAGUGGGAAGAAGAGGGAGAUGGCAUUUUACCUGCCUUGAAAAUAAGCUAUCAAAGACUGCCGACUCACUUGAAAAGAUGCUUUCUUUAUUGUUCUUGUUUUUCCAAAAGAUUACUUGUUCCGAGAUCUCUUAAUGGUGCAAUUUUGGAUGGCACAAGGGCUCAUUCUUCAAUCAUCAAAUCCAAAUGAGAAGUUGGAAGAUGUUGGCUUGCGUUAUGUGCGCGAGUUGAUCUCAAGAUGUUUCUUCCAAGAUUAUGUGGAUUUCACUUAUGUAGCUAUCUUUAAGAUGCAUGAUUUAAUGCAUGAUCUUGCAUCAUCAUUGGCUCAAAAUGAGUUUUCAAUCAUAAGCUCUCAAAACCACCAAAUUUCCAAAACGACCCGUCAUUUUUCAGUUACUGACUCUGAUUCAUUUUUUCAUCAAACUCUCCCCAAGUUCCCAAACAACUUCCAUCAAUUGCGGUCAAUAGUCUUUGCAGAUAGUAUAGCGGGGCCUACAUGCAAAAUAGACUUUGAGAAAUGUUUGUUAGAAUUCAAGCAUUUGCGGUCUUUAGAAUUAAUGGAUGAUUCUGAAUUUGAGGCUUUUCCGGAGAGGAUUGACGCCUUGAAACAUUUGAGAUAUAUCCAUUUUGGGGGCAACGCAAAAAUAAAAAGACUCCCAAAAUCUAUUUUCAAAUUGCAAAACUUGCAAGCUCUAGCUGUAGGUUUUGGAUUAGAAGAGCUGCCCAAAGAUGUGAGGUACAUGAUCAGCCUUAGAUUUUUAUUUGUAGUUACUAAGCAGAAGCGGUUGCCAGAAGGUGGGAUUGGGUGUUUGGAGUGUCUUCAAACUUUAUUCAUUGUUGGGUGUGAAAAUCUAGAAAAUUUAUGCGAAGAUAUGCAAGGUCUUAAAAGUCUUCGAAAAUUGGUUAUUGGUGGGAUGUGAUAGCUUGAUUUCUCUGCCAAGAAGCAUAAAAUGCCUAACUACUCUGGAAGAAUUAUUUAUUAUAAAGUGUGAAAAGCUUGACUUGAUGACAAUUGAAGAAGAGAAAAAGAAAAAAAUUCAACCUCUUUCCCUUUCCCUUCGUAUUGUAAUAUUUGCAGCGUUACCAGCAACUUUUGCUUUACCAGAACAACUUCUUCAAGGAUCUGCAGAAUCCUUUCAAACAUUUAUCAUCAAAGACUGUCCAAACAUUAAAGAAAUGCCAAAUUGCAUCAAUUUAAAAAAACUUCAAAAUCUUAAGAUCAGUGAUUGUUCAAGUUUGAGCAAAUGGUGCCGAAGGGGAACAGGAGAAGAUUGGCUAAAGAUAAAAAAUAUUCGUAAAAUCAUGGUUGACGAUGAUGACAGUGGUGAAGAAACAUCUGAUUAGGUAUGGGUUAUGAGUAUUUAAAUCUAUCAUAUUUAGUUUCACAUUUUUUAUCCAUUCUUCAAUUCCUUGUUUUUCAUUUAAAUUCUUUUCCCCGAAAAGAAAAUGCAAUGUUUAUUUGACAAAACCUCUUGUGUUUUGGAGGGGCAGGUUCAAGUGGAACUCCAUCAGAUUUAACUAGAGAGCAAAAGAACAAGACAAGGUAUGUCAUGAUAAAAUGCAAAGUUGACUAAUUCAUUCAACAAUUUAAAUUUCUUUGAACUUCAUGCAUCAUUAUUAAAUUCUAUGUUUGUCUAAUUUCUUCAGGUUUACUACUGUGAAGGUCCUGUCGGCCAAGAUUUUCUAGGACAGUUAAGUCUCUUGCAAAGAUCAGCUGAAGGCUCGGAGUGUCUGCUUUGUGUAACUUCCCUGUCUUAAUUUUUUUGGCUAGCUAUGUGUGAUGAUUUGUCAUUAAUAAAUUGAUAAACAUUUGGUUGUUCUGAAUUAUUGGCUUGUCUCUUUAUUUUAUUGAACUUAUCUUAUUUAAAAUAUUGUGUGUGAUCAUUUAAAUAAUUAUGCUUAACAUAUAAACUCGUCCUUCUAAACAAACUAAAAAGCUGAAGUUGGGAGGAGAAGGACAUCCAUUCCCUUAAGCUACAACAGCCAUCAAGAAUUUCAAACUUACUGCAUUGUCUCGUUCAUGAGUUUCAAAGAUCAUAACGAAGAUACAUCCAUUUCCGCACCCUUCAAGAACAUCUACUCUUUCUUUAUAUGUGAAUAAUGCAUGGGAACAUGCUGUUGCUCUAAACUCUAAAGGUCUGCAUGACUAGCUAGCUAUCAUGCUGAGUAGAUUUUCUAUUCCAAAAAGAAAAACGAAAAUCGAAGAAACUUCCAUUAGAGGCAAUCACAUGUGGGCUGCCAAAAGUUUGCUGCUGCUACCUGCAUAUUGCAACAUCCUGAUAGUUGUAAAGCCUGAAAGCUGCUCUAUAAUUGUAAUCUGGUUCUUGAUUGGAAAAAAAAACUUACCGUUUCAGUCAUCGAUCGAGAAUCAGAUGUCUCAUGCAUGAGUUUCAAAGGCAACACUUAACAAUAAGAAGAGUGGAUGUGGCAAAAAAGAACUUGACAAAGAGUCAAGUUAAUUAUUUCCUUAUACGUUUUUCUAUGGAGUUAAUUAUUGUUUCGUUCAUGUCAUUUUCCUUGCUUCUAGGCCAAGAUUUAAAGCUAUUCCCCUACACAUAUUUGCCUUAUCUCAACUAUCAUUCAUUCAAAGAAAUGGACAUUCUCUGUCAUCCUCACCUUCACUGUUAUCCCCUCAACCUUCUUGUUUUUAGCACUCAAAAUCUUUGCUGGAAAAUCUAUCAACAAUCCCAACUAUCCACCAGUUAAAGGCACAAACUUUAACCAGCUUCUCUGCUUCGACAGGCUCUAUGGCUGCUAAACUGAGCUUAUCGUUUCUAACUCUGGAGUGGAUUGUGUAUUCAUUGAUAGUGUAUAUGGAUUUCUUUUAUAUAUAUAAAUCAAGUAUUGAAUAAAUUCAUCAUGAUAUAAUAAAAAAUCAAUGAAUAUACACUUUUUAAAGACAUUUUCCCUUAUAAAAGAUAUAAGAAAUUCGUUCACAUAAGAAAUCAAAGAAGAAUAGCUUAGGUGGUCUCAUCAAACUAUAGAUGAAAGAUCUAUACUCUACCAUUCAAAAAUUCAUUCCCUACUAGGUUAUAAAUAGAUCUUCAAGAGAGAGAAAACUGAAAGCUAAUAGAACCAUCCAAAAAUACAAAGCAAGAUUUAUCGUUAAAGGUUUCAAAAAACAUAAAAAAAAAAUUAGUUUACUACAUACUUAUCUAUGUUAAUAAUAACUUUUAUAUGUAUUUAAUAGAUAUUACAAUUAUUAACAAGUUAGAAAUAUGAAAAAAAAUGUUUUUUUAAAUAGUGAUUUUGAGGGAGAGGUAUUUAUUAAACAACUUACGAGGUUUGUUAUUAAAGAAAAAAAAAGACUUUAAACUUAUUAAAUUAUUAUAUAGUUUGAAACAAGCUUCUAAAUAAUUGCAUGAAAAGUUUGACAAUAUUAUAUUAUAAAAUGAGUUUAAAAUCAAUGAGGUUAAUAAAAGUAUUUAUGUAAAAAUUACAAAUAAAAAUUAUGUUAUUUUUUAAAUUUAUUUUACAUGUAAAAAUUCAUCUCAAGUAGUUUUAAUUAGCAUGCAUUUUCUUAUACUUGUUUUUUUUUUAUUCGUAACUGUAAAAACUACUGCAAUACUGGACAAUAUCAAACACACUUAUCCAUAAAAGAAUUUUGAGAUCAACAUCAUCAUUCUUGCUUCCAAUGACUCUCCAUUUAGAAUCAACAAGGGAUAUUAUGGAAACUUGCCAUGCAUUGAUAUGUCAUUUUAAUCGUAUGGCCCUUGAAAGAACAUCAAAGUUUCUACCCCUUUGUCCUUUUCCAAAUAAUCAAAAUCCAAACCAGCUACCAAACACAAAAAAACAUAUAUCUUUUUUUCGUAGUUAGCAUCAAUCACCAGCCCAUACAUUGAAUGACCAAAACUAAAACCACCUUCAAUCGUUACAGCUAUAUUAAUUGACCGGCAAAUUAAUGAGGCUGAUAAAAAAAUAAAUUCGUGUGCUAAAAAGAAUUGUAAUUAAAUCCAAUAUAACAUAUCAUAAGAUCGAUUUCAUUACAUUACCAUGAUAUUAAACUCGACCUGGUAUAUGGUGGUAGAGAUUGUCAUUUUAAAGAUCCAUUUGAUAGUGGUAGAGAUUGUCAGAUAGAAUUUGGAGCUGUAUAUGGUGCUCUUCCAUUUGUAAUAUAUUUCCUCAAACCUGGUUUUCGUCACACUGGAUUUUAUAGCUAAAACAUUAAACGAAACAGGUGAUCGUUUUAGCAAUUUCAAGGAAUACCCAGUUACUCCGCCCUCCUUUUCUAUCUCAUGCAGCUUGAAGUGGAGGCAGGGGUGGUGUUGUGAGCUCUGUUUUGAAGUCUAUGUUUAGCCUUAAUAACACCUGAUUAAUGAUAAUCUUAAGUGGGACAGAAUAAAAGAAGAGACCAAACGAAUGGACCAGCUUGAAUUUGAUGAUCUGUAGGUAUUUCACAUAUGCCUUUUGUUGUCUUGUCCAUCUUUGACUCAGAAAGCACUUCUAUUACAGCAGGGUGUGCAUUCUACAGAUGGAUGAAGAUGAAAGAUAUAAUUGAAAACUAGAAUAUAGACUCCACACUCUUCAGGUUAGCUUCUAUCCUCGUGGCAAUUUUCAUUUAUAUGCUAAUAUGAAAUUGCUUACUUUGCUGGCGGUUGGAAAUUAUCAUUUAAAGUAAUCAGGGUAAGUUUCAGAUUAGAAAAAGCUAAUCUAGGCAAGUGAUGGGCGAUUGAGCAGAACUACGUGAAUUAUCCAGAAUUUAGUGAAAGUAUGAUUUGUAGUUAAGAUCAAAAGAAAAACAUUUCAAUAUAAUUUUAGCAUGGCCUCAUUCCGCAUAAUCAUGGGAAUCAUAAAGUUUUUCACACAAUCUUACUAGUAGAAUUAUCAUUUCCAGUAUGCAACCACAAUAUACUUAAGGUAAUACCCAAGUUUUGUCCCUAAAGCCUAAAGGGCCCAAAGCCUAUAAGUUCAGCCAUAGUCUCUAAACCCAGGUAUAAAUAAGGUUUUCCUAUUCAGAAAAGAAAAACAAACAAGAAAUAAUUGUUAAAGACAAAACAUAAGAACACACUAACAUCUCUCAAGUUUCCUCUACUCUGGGUAGAAGACCCAUUGCACUAUCUAUCUAUGAUUUGUUCGUUUUGCUAUCCGCUACUCUUCUGUUAAUGGGUCUGCUUCAGUGGGUUAAAGGGCUUGCAUGAAAUGGCAAGGCACCAAUUGUUUUUGUUGAAGCGUAUACAUUCAAGGCCCAUCCUCAUUCUGAAUAUUGUAGCGUAGAGAUAUAAAUAUAUUAUCUCCGUUUUUUUUUUUUUUUCUUGAGACAAUAACAAAAACACUAUUUCAUAUAAAUAAUAUAUUAAAUGAUGCGCUUAUUAGUUGUUAAAUAACCUUAUAUCAUAUAUUUAAAAAACAAUGCACCAACCACCUAACUUGGCUCAUAUAUUACUUCGUAUUUGAUAUAAAUAUAUGUAUUAAGAGAAAUAACUUUAUAUAUAUUCUUAAUCAAUCAUCAUUAUUAUAAAUUAAACUUCAAUUAUAAAAUAAUGUUAGAAAUUAGAUUGGUUCUUACAAGAUUUGUAGUAUAAUAUUGUAAUAGUAAUUAUUAUAUGCAUUAAAAUUUAAAUAUUUUGUUUUGGUAUUUAUUAAGUAACAUUUAGUUUGCAAGUGAAGAUUGGAUAGUUAGGUUACAUUUUAAAAAAAAAGUAAUAUGAGUAUUGGCUAGGUAAAUUAAUUCUAUGUAUCCAAAAUCAAGUUUUUAGUUUGAAUCGGAUAAAAUCAAGUAAAAGUCCAAUCAAAUCAAAUUGAGUGAUUAUAAUAAUUGGAUAUUCAAUGAGUAUAAUGAAAUUAUCAUUCCUAUAUUUGGCUGGAAUUUCUCAUUACCAGGUCUUGGAGCUUGUGGGAGAGUUUGAUCUAGUAACUUUUCCCAAGCCUCCUUCAUUCUGUUUAUGAUUCAUGCACUCCUUUCUUCUUCUUCCUUUUCUUUUCCUCUAUUUUUCCAUGAGUGGCCUUCGCUAUUCACUGGUUGCUAUUCUAUUACGCAAGCUGGUUAAAGCAAUUAGAGUGCAUUUGUUUUUGUGGUUGUAAUUUAAAAAAUAUAUAUAUGGUUAGUUGGAUUUAGAUACAUGUUUGGUAAAAAUUAUGAUUAAAGUUUAUGUAUAGCAAAAACAUGUAUAAAAUAUUUGGUUAUUAUAUUUAGAAGUGUGGUUGCGGUUAUUUUUCCAAGUGUUUUUUACUUGGAAAUGCAUCAAAAUAUUUUUUUAUUAUUUUUUUAAAAUUAUUCUUGAUAUUACCGCAUCAAAAUAAUUUUAAAAUACCAAAAACAUAUUAAUUUGAAGUAAAAAAAAUUAAAAAAAAAAUUAUUUUUUUUAAAAGCGCUUUUGAAAUACAAAAACAAACAGGUUUUACGAAACUCAAUUAAAAAAACAUUUAAAAACUAAAUUUCAAAUUUUAUUUUUAGUGGUCUCCACAAAUGAAACAUAAUUUGAUUUGUUUCCAAAUAUUUUAUGUAUUUAUUUCACUGUAAACAUAAAAGCUAACCAAAAAAACAAAUCCAGUCUUAGUAGCUAAUUAGACUCCAGGUUGGUAAUGGAACGCGUAUUAAGUAGGUAUCCAGUCUAUUAAAUUUGUAGGUGCUUUAAUUGCCCCCUUUUUUUUUUUCUAUUUUUAAUGCUCUAAUACCAUAUAAACUGAAAUUCGAUUAGUGGUAUAGAAUUUUAUUGGGAUAUGGUACCAUCCUAUAUUCUGCUUUCAAAUUAAGCUACCAAAGACUGCCGGCUCACUUGAAAAGAUGCUUUCUUUAUUCUUCCAUUUUUCCAAAAGAUUACUACUUCUAGGAUGAUGUUUAAUUAAAAUUUAUUCUUUUUUACUUUUCGUCCCUUAAUUUUGUGAUCAAGAAGACUCAACGACUUCUCCUCUCCACUCAGAAAGCGGAACUCCACUCUUAUCUCAAUCAUUUUUUCCCUAUCAAACACUCCUCCCCUCACUCAAAACGAAAAUGGCAGAAGCUUUUGCAACCGAGAUUGCAAAAUCCCUUUUAGGGAAGCUGGGCUCUUUCGCUGUACAAGAACUUAGUUUGGCAUGGGGACUUGAAGAUGACCUUGCACGUCUUGAAGAGAGAUUGAAAGCCAUCAACGUGGUGCUGUCCGAUGCUGAGAAGCAACAAUCAAAGAAUGAGAGGAUUCGGCUCUGGCUCCAUAUGCUCAGAGAAGUCUUGUAUGAUGCAGAGGACGUGCUGGACGAAAUCGAGUGCGAAACUUUGCGAAGAGAGGUGGUGAAAACAACAGGGAGCACCAGCAGAAAGGUACGGCGCUACUUUUCAAGCUCUAAUAAGAUUGCAUUCCGUUCAACAAUGGGUCAUAAGAUAAAGAAGAUCAUAGAAAGACUAGCUGAGAUUUCAUCUCUUAAGUCUGACUUCAACCUCAGCGAGCAGGCUACUGAUUGUAGUUAUGUCUUGCAUGGGGAAACAGAGAUGAACCGAUCCUUUGACAGCUUUUCCGGUCUUAUCGGAAGAGAUGAAGACAAAGAACGCAUCAUCAACCUUUUAGUAGCACCUUUUAAGGUUGGUGAUGCACAUCCCCUUGUCCUUCCAAUUGUAGGAACGGGAGGCUUGGGGAAGACAUCUCUUGCCAAAUCGGUGUGUGAUGCUGAAAAUGUAAAAAGUCAUUUUGAUCUGAAGAUGGAGGCAUGUGUUUCAGAUGAUUUUUCCUUGAAACAAGUGGUACGAAAAAUUAUUAAAUCUGCAACUGGGGAAAGAUGUGCGGAUUUGGAUGAGGGUGAACUUAAUAAAAAACUUGAAGAAAUUUUGAAUGGUAAGAAAUACUUGCUUCUUUUGGAUGAUGUUUGGAAUGAAGAAUCUCAAAAAUGGUUGUUGUUGAAGCCUUUGUUAUCAAAAGGUGCUGAUGGAAGUAAGAUUAUAGUAACUACACGUAGUCAACGUGUUGCUGAGAUUAUGGGUACUGUUACUGCGCACAACCUAAGUCUUCUUGGUCAAGAGGAUUGUCUGUCGUUGUUUAACAAGUGUGCAUUCAAGGAAGGGCAAAUGGAGUUGAAUCCAAAUUUGGUUGGAAUUGGGAAAGAAAUAGUGGAGAAAUGCAAGCAAGUUCCUCUGGCAGUGAUUAACUUGGGGACUCAACUGUAUGGUAAGACUGAUGAAAAAGAGUGGGAAUCGGUGAGAGACAGUGAGAAGUGGGAAGAAGAGGGAGAUGGCAUUUUACCUGCCUUGAAAAUAAGCUAUCAAAGACUGCCGACUCACUUGAAAAGAUGCUUUCUUUAUUGUUCGGUUUUUCAAAAAGAUUACCCGUUCCUAGAUCUCGUAUUGGUGCAAUUUUGGAUGGCACAUGGGCUCAUUCUUCAAUCAUCAAAUCCAAAUGAGAAACUGGAAGAUGUUGGCUUGCGUUAUGUGCGCGAGUUGAUCUCAAGAUGUUUCUUCCAAGAUUAUGUGAUGAGAUGGUUGGAGCUUCCUUUAAGAUGCAUGAUUUAAUGCAUGAUCUUGCAUCAUCAUUGGCUCAAAAUGAGUUUUCAAUCAUAAGCUCUCAAAACCACCAAAUUUCCAAAACGACCCGUCAUUUGUCAGUUCUUGACUCUGAUUCAUUUUUUCAUAAAACUCUGCCCAAGUUCCCAAACAACUUCCAUCAAGUGCGGUCAAUAGUCUUUGCAGAUAAGUGGGGCCUACAUGCACAACAGACUUUGAGAAAUAUUUGUCAGAAUUCAAGCAUUUGCGGUCUUUGGAAUUAAUGAAUGAUUCUGAAUUUGAGGCUUUUCCGGAGAGGAUUAGGGCCUUGAAACAUUUGAGAUAUCUCUAUUUUGGGAACGUCACAAAAAUAAAAAGACUCCCAAAAUCUAUUUUCAAAUUGCAAAACUUGCAAGCUCUGGCAGUUACAAGUGAAGGAUUAGAAGAGCUGCCCAAAGAUGUGAGGUACAUGAUCAGCCUUAGAUUUUUAUAUCUAACUAUUCAGCAGAAGCGGUUGCCAGAAGGAGGGAUUGGGUGUUUGGAGUGUCUUCAAACUUUAUUCAUUGUUGGGUGUGAAAAUCUAGAAAAUUUGUGCGAAGAUAUGCAAGGUCUUAAAAGUCUUCGAAAAUUGGCUAUUGGUAAAUGUGAUAGCUUGAUUUCUCUGCCGAGAAGCAUAAAAUGCCUAACUACUCUGGAAGAAUUAUUUAUUAUAAAGUGUGAAAAGCUUGAUUUGAUGACAAUAGAAGAAGAGCAAGAGGAAAAAAUUCAACCUCUUUUCCUUUCCCUUCAUAUUGUAAUAUUUAAAAAGUUACCAUCAACUAUUGCUUUACCGGAACAGCUUUUUCAAGGAUCUGCAGAGUCCUUACAAACAUUUAUCAUCAGAGACUGUCCAAACAUUGAAGAAAUGCCGGAGUGCAUCAGCAAUUUAAAGAAACUUCAAAAUCUUGAGAUCAUUGAUUGUCCAAGGUUGAGCAAAAGGUGCAUAAGGGGAACAGGAGAAGAUUGGCUCAAGAUCAAGCAUAUCCCUAAAAUCAAAGUUGCCGAUGAUGACAGUGGUGAAGAAACAUCUCAUAGUGGUGAAGAAACAUCUGAUUAAGUACGGGUUAUAAGUAUUUAAAUAUAUCAUAUUUAGUUACACUUUUUUAUACAUUCUUCAAUUCCUUUUUUUCCUUUUAAAUUCUUUUCAAUGUUUAUUUGACACAACCUCUUGUGGUUUGGAGGGGCGGGUUCAAGUGGAACUCCAUCAGAUUUAACUAGAGCAAAAGAACAAGACAAGGCAUGUCGUGGGUGUCAUGAUAAAAUGCAAAGUUAACUAAUUCAUUCAACAAUUUAAAUUUUUUUGAACUUAAUACAUCAUUAUUAAAUUUUAUUUUUGUCUAAUUUCUUCAGGUUUACUACUGUGAGGGUCCUGUCGGCUGAGAUUUUCUACAACAGUUUGUCACUUGCAAAGAUCAACUUAAGGCUCACAGUGUCUGCUUUGUGUAAUUUUCUUAGCUAGCUGUGUGUGAUGACUUGUCAUGAAUAAAUUGAUAAACAUUUGGUUGUUCUGAAUUAUUGGCUUGCCUCUUUAUCUUAUUUAAAAUAUUGUGUUUGAUCCUUUAAAUAAUUAUGCUUAACAUAGAAAUUCCUCCUUCUAAACAAACUAAAAAGCUGAAACAUCAAAGAAACCUCCAUUAGAGGUCUACGUGACUAGCUAUCAUGCUCAGUAGCUUUUCUAUUCCAGUAAGAAAAAUGAAAAAUCAAAGAAACUUCCAUUAGAGGCAAUCAUAUGUAGGCUUCCAAAAGUUUGCUGCUGCUACCUGCAUAUUGCAACAUCCUGAUAGGUGUAUAGCCUGAAAGCUGCACUAUAAAUGUAAUCUGGUUCUUGAUGGGAAAAUAAACUUACCUCUUUAGUCAUCGAGAAUCAACAACCUAGCUCUAAUCUGAUGGCUUCGCUUCUAGUAAUUCCAUUUGAUCUUCCUUGGCAACACAAUCCAAACUGUGUUCCUUUAAAUUUUGAAAAACAAAUUACUUAAAAUUAAUUUUUUUUAUAUUUUUAGAUCGUUUUGAUGUGUUGAUCUCAAAAAUAAUUUUAAAAAAAUAAAAAAAAUAUUUUAAUAUAUUUUUAAGCAAAAAACACUUUAAACCAUAGUCACUAUCACAAUUCCAAAUAUACCUUAUAAUCUGGCCCUUCUGUCCAAUUUUAGGCAUUUAACGUACCAUCUUGGGUUAACUUUUAUCCGUAUAAAACCCGACAAAAGUUAGGCAUGAGAGGGUGAAUCCAAAUUUUGCUACUUGUUUCUAAUAAUACAACAAUUAUCAAGAAUCUCAAACUUAUUACAAUGUCUCAUUCAUGAGUUUCAAAGAUCUUAACGAAGAGACAUCCAAUAACAUAUUAAAAGUUUAUAAAGUUUUACACUCUGUUUUUCAUUAAAUUUUGAAAUUUCUUUUUUUAAAUUAAUUAUUUUUUUAUUUUUAAAUUUUUUUAAUCUGUAACUGUUAAAAAUAUUUUAAUAUAUUUUAGGUCAUACUCCAAAACCACCCCUUGAUCUUAACCAAUUUUCAAAAAACUGUUUUUUCAUUUUUUUUUCAAACAAACAUUCCCACCGCGUACCUUGCCGUCAAAACAAACGACUCAUCAACACAACCACAGCAACCGCCAUCUUCUUGCAAAAUAAAAUGACCCUCAAACAAAACUUCUAGCUUCCUUUAACCAGAAAAACCAAACUUUUAACACUAACAGCAACCACUAGCAGCGCCGACUUCACUAUCUAUACGACCACAACCACCCCGACUCCUUCCCUGACAAAUUCAUCUCUCCAGUACACCUUCCUUCGCUCUUCUUGUGCAAUCUCCACCGUCGGUAAAAACCUCCUCUCUCUCUUUCUCUAAGCUAAUUAUUUAACCCUGUUUUAAUCAUUUUCAUUUUCGCUUACAGAUUGCUUCAACCAUCACGGAUUACAAACUCUCUUCAUGACCUACCAGUAAACUCUGAUUCUUACUAUCAGAAAUUAUUCAAAGUAAAUGAAGUUAGUUUUAUUAUUAUUGUUAUUAAUUUAUGUGUUUAUUUUUUAUUUAGGGAAUAAUUUAAAGUUUUGAUUUUGAGUGAAUUUAAUUAAUUAAAUCGGCGCCAUUAUGUCAUUAAAAAAAUAUUUUAAAAAUUAGAAAAAAGAAUAGAAAACAUGCAUCAGAAGAAAUUGAUUUCCAAAAGGAGUCCUAAAAGUUCUCUUAUUGUAAGAUUGAGUUUUACCUGGCAAAAGCAUAUCUAAGCUGAAAAUGGUGAAUCAAAUGGAUAUACGGAUAAUAAAAGGAUGUUUGAUAAAGUAUUUUUUAUAUAGAAGUAUAUUAAAAUAAUAUUUUUUUAUUUAAAAAAAUUAUUAUUAACCAAUAUAUUAAAACGAUCUAAAAAUAUAAAAAUAAUUUAAAUAAUAAAAAAAAUUAAAAAAUUCAAAAUUUGUUAAUAACAUUUUUAAAAUACAAAACCGAACUACAUGUAGAAUUGAUACCUUGGCGUGUUUGGCCCAAAUAUAUGAUAGUGGUAGAGAUUGUCAUAUAGAAUUUGGAGCUGUAUAUGGUGCACUUCCAUUUGUAAUAUAGGUGCACUUCCAUUUGUAAUAUAUUUACUCAGACCUGGUUAUUGUCACACUGGAUUUUAUUGCUAAAAUAUUAAACGAAACCAGGUUGCAGCUUGCAGAGGAGGCAGGGGUGGUGUUGUGAGCUCUGUUUUGAAAAUUUUGAAAAUUCAUCUAAUCAUCGUUAUCCUGCUUUAAGACAAGGAGUGCUCCUUUUUGUUUCGUUCAUGUCAUUUUCCUUGCUUCUAGGCCAAGAUUUAAAGCUAUUCCCCCACACAUAUGUGACUGAAUGCCGGGAUUCUUCCUCUCUUUCUUUCCUUUGUCUGUUUUUAUGACCAUGAUUCAUUCAUUCCCUCAAUCUUUUCUUCGCUUACUACCAUCAGCAACCAUUGACGUCGCCGCCUUCACUCUCUAGACCACCUCAACCACCCCCUACUCUUUCCUUGAUAAAUUCACCUCUUCACAUCCACUUUCAAAAAAAUAUUUCAAAAAAAUAUAUUUUAAGAAUUUCGAGGAAUACCCAAUUCCUCCCCCCUCCUUUUCUAUCUCAUGCAGCUUGCAGUGGAGGCAGGGGUGGUGUUGUGAGCUCUGUUUUGAAGUCUAUGUUUAGCCUUAAUAACACCUGAUUAAUGAUAAUCUUAAGUGGGACAGAAUAAAAGAAGAGACCAAAUGAAUGGACCAGCUUGAAUUUGAUGAUCUGUAGGUAUUUCACAUAUGCCUUUUGUCGUCUUGUCCAUCUUUGACUCAGAAAGCACUUCUAUUACAGCAGGGUUUUCAUUCUACAGAUGGAUGAAGAUGAAAGAUAUAAUUGAAAACUAGAAUCUAGACUCCACACUCUUCAGGUUAGCUUCUAUCCUAGUGGCAAUUUUCAUUUAUAUGCUAAUAUGAAAUUCCUUACUUUGUUGGCGGUUGGAAAUUAUCAUUUAAAGUAAUAUUUUCAGAUUAGAAAAAGCUAAUCUAGGCAAGUGAUGGGCGAUUGAGCAAAACCACGUGAAUUAUCCAGAAUUUAGUGAAAGUAUGAUUUGUAGUUAAGAUCAAAAGAAAAACAUAUCAAUAUAAUUUUAGCACGGCCUUAUUCCGCAUAAUCAUGGGAAUUAUAAAGUUUUUCACACAAUGUUACUAGUCUUGCCAAUUCAAUGGAUCGAAAUAUCAAGGAGAGUUGCAAAAAUUAAGUUUAUCAAUUCACACAGCAUCAAAGUAGAAUUAUCAUUUCCAGCAUGCAACGACGAUAUAAGUUCAGCCAUAGUCUCUAAACCCAAGUAUAAAUAGGGGUUUUCCUAUUCGGAAAAGAAAAACAAACAAGAAAUAAUUGUUCAGAAAAACAAAACAUAAGAACACACUAUCAUCUCUCAAGUUUCCUCAACUCUGGAUAAUCAAUCAUUACUUUUGGUAGGUUUUAUUUUGUUUUGUGGCUUUUGAGUGUUGAUAACAAGGUAAGAUUAUUCUAAACUUUGUCUUUAAUUUCAUAUUAUGAACAGUAGAAGACAUGUUAGGGCUUGUAUGUUGAAUUGAGGAAUUUAAUGAUUUUUUAUGAUAACGAUGGAAUUUAGCAUGAAUAUUGGGUUUAAGAUGUUAGAAAUAUGUUUUUGGGCGGUCGAUGCUAGAGAUAUGACCAUCAAACCAAAACUAUCCUAUAGGGUGUGCUUCCUUUUGUUUUCUAGGCUAAUUUCGAUGGCGAGUUCUGACAAACAGAUAGUAAUCUUACAAAUUUUUUUAGUCAAUUAGUAGAUGCAUUUGAGAAGAAAAACAUAUUAAAAAAUAAGCACGAUCCAAUAGUUAUGCUAGAGAUAUGACAACUGGAGCAUGCUGCCUUUUUUGUGCUGGCUCCUCCAAAUUCUACACUUCUCCUUCUCUCUAGCUGAAUUUUCUCAAUUGCCUCACUUUUUUUUUUUUUUGGUAAUAUUUGGCCUCUUUUUUGUUUUAAAGGUAAAUUUGCCAUUAAUUAUAAUUUUGUCUCUCAUUUAUUUCAUUUUAUUUUUCACAUAAACUAUCCAUUUUUUCUGCUUAAAUAGCUUUACCAGAACAACUUUUUCAAGGAUCUGCAGAAUCCUUACAAACAUUUAUCAUCAAAGACUGUCCAAACAUUGGAGAAAUGCCGGAGUGCAUCAGCAAUUUAAAGAAACUUCAAAAUCUUGAGAUCAUUGAUUGUCCAAGGUUGAGCAAAAGGUGCAUAAGGGGAACAGGAGAAGAUUGGCUCAAGAUCAAGCAUAUCCCUAAAAUCAAGGCUGACGAUGAUGAUAGUGGUAAAGAAACAUUUGAUUAGGUACGGGUUAUGAGUAGUUAAAUAUAUCAUAUUUAGUUUCACAUUUUUAUCCAUUCUUCAAUUUCUUUUUUUUCGUUUUAAAUUCUUUUCCAUGUUUAUUUAACAAAACCUCUUAUGUUUUGGUGGGGCAGGUUCAAGUGGAACUCCAUCAGAUUUAACCAGAGCAAAAGAAGAAGACAAGGCAUGUCAUGUCAUAAUAAAAUGCAAAGUUAACUAAUUCAUUCAACAAUUUAAAUUUCUUUGAACUUAAUACAUCAUUAUUAAAUUUUAUGUUUGUCUAAUUUCUUCAGGUUUGCUACUGUGAGGAUCCUGUCGGCUGAGAUCUUUUAUGACAGUUAGUCUCUUGCAAAGAUCAGCUGAAGACUCGGAGUGUCUACUUUAUAUAAUUUCCUUGGCUAGCUAUAUGUGAUAAUUUGUCAUUAAUAAAUAGAUAAACAUUUGGUUGUUCUCAAUUAUUUAAAUAAUUAUGCUACUUGUUUCUAAUAAUACAACAAUCAUCAAGAAUCUUAAAUUUAUUGCAAUGUCUUAUUCAUGAGCUUCAAAGAUUCUCAAUCAAAUUCUUAUAAUAGUGUAAGUUAUUAAAGAUUUAUUAAAAAUCUUUCAUGUCACGGGGUAAAACAAACUAUAAAAAAAAAAAAAAAGAGUAAAGAAUUUGUGUUUUUUACAUGUUUGACCAGCUCAGCCAAGUCAUGAAUUGAUCUACUAAAUUAUUUAUAUUUUACCAAAUCAAUUUUCUAAAUGGAUAAAAACAAACUUGGCUGGGCUUGGUUUGAUGCCCAUAAAUUAUAGGGUUUUAUAUUCAUGCCCGCAUGAAUAUAAAAACACGGGCUAAUAGCCCUAUUAUUACGAAGGCUGUCAAAAGCCCAUAAAGUAAAAAAAAAAAACACAAACUGAGACUAGUUUAAAUUACAAAACUGACCAGCUAUUUGAAAGAAAAGCCCAGACACAAACCCCCAACCAAGAAAGGCAUUGGUAGCCCACUCGUGAUAGAUUUGCUUACCAUUCCUUGUUGCCAUAAAAACUCUUGAGCACGAAGAAAUCUCCAUUUCAUUCUUUCUAUAGCAUAAUCUCAUUUGAUUCUCAACAGUAUAAGCUCCAAUUCUUCCAAAAACGAGAUAGAGAUCAAUAAAUUAAUCUCAUGUAUAUUUUUACAUGUUAAAUUAGCCAAGUUGGCCACGUGGCAAAAUAAAAUAUCUUGCUAUCCUCCAUGUAGCAGUUGGGCAGACGGACAAAAUGAAAAAUCUUGGUAUCCUCCAUGCAGAUUCAGUGGUCCAUCGGCUGCCACAAAUACCACGUCGUUUUGGUUUAAUUACCACUCUUCCUUCCUCUUGACCUCAUAGUAUACUAAAAAAGCCUUUUGAUAAUAUACCAACAAGAGCAAGAUGCCAUUGCCAGGUCUGCUAUGAUUGUAAAAUAAAUAAGGCAGCCCACAGAUUUCUGGUUCAUAGCCUCGUCAUCCUCCUCUGUCAUUGAUUGCCUGCCACAGUGCUCAUGAAAUAAUUGAGGAUAGAUCAUAGAUAAAUGAGCUGCUUUCUUAUCAAGUACCCUUCCUUACUCAGCAUCCACAUGGAGCUCUCAUCGUGCACCGACCCAUAUUCUUCACUGAAUAUAUAUAUAUAUCAACUUGUGGUUAGGGAUACCUUUCCGUUUCAUUUAAAAACAGAGCAUUCAAAUUCAUGAAUUUAUGAUAUUGAAAUCCACAAUAGCUUGCAUUUAUUAUUCACGUGCUCAUGAACUCAAUUAAUUUCUUUUUUCAUAAGAAUUCAUUAGCUUACUUUAUCUCACUCCCAUUAUUGGGUCUGGUUUUUGUUUUAUAUAUAUAUAUAAAUAUAAUUAUUUAUUACUGAGAUCUAUAAGUUAUUCAAGGAUACAUAUAAUAAUAACAUAUUAACAAACGAAAAACAAUGUCAUUUUUAACUAGUCAUGCUUAACGGAGAUUAAUUUUUUCAUAAAUUUAAGAAAUUAUAUGUUUAACCCUUAAAAUUUUUCAGUUUAUUUAUAAUUUAAUUCUUCCAUCAAUUUUAUGUUGUUUUCUAAUGAAUAAUUUAAUUAUAUUAAAUUUUUUCAGUUUAUUUAUAAUUUAAUUCUUCCAUCAAUUUUAUGUUGUUUUCUAACGAAUAAUUUAAUUAUAUGUUUACGGGAAAAACAGAAGGUGGAGAUUUUGAUUAGAAAAGAAAUUUUUUUAAAACAAACAACUAUUAUAUUAAUACUUGUUAGGAUUGAUCAAAGGAAUAUUUAAUUAUUUAUAGAACUGUAGAGAUCGAUUAAUUAGUGAAAAAAACGAAAAAAAAAAAAACUUUUGGAAUCCUGCUGGGGGGAGCAUUUCAUUGUCUGCCACACCUCGAAAACAUCCCAUGCUUAGGUGAUGGAUACCAUUAGGGCUUAAACCCUAAUUUUAUCUCUCUAUUAGUUGAGAUAUUUGAGCUCUCCCCCAUCAACCCUACUCAGCAUUGACCAACCACAUUACUUACUUUUAAUUAAAAUGAAGGACCAUAUCGAAAAUAAAAUAGAAAAAAAUAAAAUGAAAUUAAGUUCAAGUGGGAUCGAUGAAGUUUCGAGUUUGGACUUUCAAGUGCUAGAUUUUUAGCUUGAAGUGAGCCAAUAGAUUGUUUGAAAUGAAAAUUCAUAGAAUCACAAUUCUUUUAGUAUUUAUUAAACUCAAUUCAAAAGAUUAUUUCGGUGUAAAGAUAUAGCUAACUCUUUUUUAAAAAAAAUAAAAAUUAAUGGGUUUUAACCAAAUAAUAAAUUAACUUAGGUUUUUUAAUUCUCUUAUAUAUUUUUAUAUAUAUAUGAUUCUAGUUUAUGUUAUUAAAUCAGCUUUUAUACAUCAAAACUAUACUUACAUUUUUAAUCCAUUUUAAAAUAAAUCAAAUAUUAAACCUGAACUGGAAAAUUGCAAAAUUCUAUUACAUGGAUUAAUUUUCCAAUUCAUAGCAUUCCUUGUGUUUUUCUUAAAAGGCCCCCGUUUUUAUUUAGAAGCUUUUAGGUGAUAGAUACCAUUAGCUAGGGCUUAGCAAAAAGCCGAAAACACAAUCCCAUUUAUAGAAAAAUCCAAGGAAAUAAAAUCGGUAGGGGAAAGAUGCUUUUUUUUUUUUUCUUUUUUUCUUUUUGGAUGAUAACAAAUGCCAAAACACGCUAAAUUGUUCAUUAGGUGAAUUAAAAUGGUGUACGUGAUAUUAAUUAUUUUUUAAAAUAUUUUGUUUAGAAAUAUAUAAAAAUAAAUUUUUUAUUAUUUUUUAUAUUGUAUAUAAAAUAAUCUAAAAUCACAAAAAAUAAUUUCAAAAAAAAAAACAAAAAAUUAUUUUUAUCGCAAAAAUAAAUACCUUUAAAUAGUCAACAACAAGUUGGAAUUUCUUUUUCAUCAAAUUUCUUUUUUAAAUUCAACUAUAAAAAAUAUCCAUACAUCAAUUUGCACAUCAAUUAAGUGCCCGUUUAGCACUAAUUUCACUCACCGUGAAAAGAAUAAAAAAUAAUGCUUUUGAAUUCAAACAAACGACAAUUUAAACCUAAAAUGAAAUGCAUUGUAAAAAAUUCUCUAAAUCUAACUACACAUCUAUAUAUCUAUUGUAUUUAAAGAAUUUAAUAAAUUAAAUUCUAAUUUCAAUAUCCAAAAUAAAAGAUUUUAAAUACAUAAUAAACUCAUCAAUCGACCGACCAAACCCCUUAAAUAAAGAAAAACUUAAAUUUAUCCUUCCAAAAAAAAAAACCCACACAAAUGACAAAAGUAAAUAUAUAUAUUUUUUAUUUUUCAGAUUUUCCAUGAGAUUGGGUGGGGUUCAAGUGGCAACUUAUUAGCCAACCAGUGGGCCAGAUGUUUCCUACCACGCAAAAGCUAAAUUCACUGCACAACGACACCAACAUUCCUCCAAAGUACAGCAACACACCGAAGCUUCCUCCACACCCCUCACUGAUCAUCACCGCCGAUCAAGAGUAAAUUAUAAGUUAGUCCCUAUACUUUCAAAAUAAGAAUAAAUUACUCUAUCUAGUUUGAGAAACUAUAUAAACAAUCCUUAUAUUUUAAAAUCUAUUAAUAACUUAGUUUCUCCUUCAAAAUCACCUUUACUAAGCUGAUAAAAACACUCCCCAAUUCAAUAUUUUUAUCUCUAAACUACCCCUGUUUCCCAUUUCCAUCUCCAUUGGAAAUAUUAAAUCACCUCAAAAAUCUUCCUCUCUAUCCUCUACUCUCCUCUUUUCCUUGACCCCGGCUGCCUUUUCUUAUGGGGCAUUUUAGGUAUCACAUAUAAAUUUGACAGAUCUAUAAAAUAAUUAAAAUUUGGGGACUAAUUAACUAAUUGUCAAAACUAGUUGAACUAUUCCAUUCAUGUUUCAAACAUACAGGGACCAAAUUUAAUCCACAAACUAGAAGCAUCAACCUGUCCCUAUAAAUAUAAACAAACCACCAGUAAUGGAAAACUCCGCAACAAAACACGUAACUCAAAAGACAAUUUUUCUUUUCCCUGUUUUCUGCAUUAACCGAUUGAUUUUUUCAAAUAAAAAUUCAAUAAAUCCGAUCCAUGCAACCGUCUCUUCUUCAUCAAAUUCAAAUCUUAGGUUUAAUUCAAAAAGAAAAAAUAAUCUUGAGAGAAUUUAAGAAAAUCUCUCCUUAUGAGCUCUCUAAAUCGUAAACAACAGCAGAAGCAGCACCUCCAUUGCUCUUCUUCUUCUUCUUCGUCAUCGAGCAGUCUUUUUAGUCACUUUAUUGCUGGAAUUUUGUUAUAUAUUCUUUAUCACUCUUCUCAGUUAAUCUCUAAUUUUCCUAUUCCUAUACACCUCUAAACGCAUCGUUUUUCUUACUCUCUUUCUAAACAAACAAGCAUUCGCGAGCGAUCAGUGAUUUUUUGAAGAAUAAUUCGAAGAUUUGGCUGAUUCUGUGUUUUUUUUAUUCAAAAAUGGAGAAUCUGAUUGAUAACGGUUAGUAUAUUCUCUGUUUUUUAUUUAUUGAAUUUUUAGUUUUAAUUUUUUGAUUAGAUAAAGCUGAAAUGACAGAAUGUAUUCUCUUUUUAUUUGAUUUUGAUUUUUUUUUGUCUUGGAAUUUGAGGCUGAAAUGAUAGGGUAAUUAUGAUAACAGUAGUUCGAUACUUUUGUGUCGAAAUUAAUAUUUAAUUGUAGUAAUUAAUAUUAAUAGAUUCUUAGUAAUUAAUAUUAAAAUAUUCUUUUAGAAAAAAAAUGUUUUUAGUUGAAAAAUAUUUAUUUUUUUAAAAAACGUGAAACAUAUUAAUUAUCAAAGCAACCAUCACGUGACAUAUUUUACUAGCAAAGUUGCUAAUGUGGUGGCUGUUAGCCUGGAUGAUCAUGUUAGCAAAUAUGUUGAUAUGAUAGUUGACAUGCAUGAUGCGGUGUUAGCAUGGUGGGGGCCUGCAAUGUGGAGAUUUUUACUAUUUGUCUCUGAAAUGUUUUUAGAAGGUUUGAGUUCAUUUUCUUGGCAUGGAGAGGGAGAGAAUUGAAAUUGAAUAGGAAGGCCUUUAGUAGUAUUUUUAAGUUAGCUCAUUAUCUCGGGCAGAAGAGAUGAAGAUACGGCAACAAUAGGGAUAGAGGGAACUUGUCUCACUUCAAAAUUGUUUUUGAAACAAAUUUAUUUUAUGUUUUUUUAAACAUGUUUCUGUCUUUAUAUCUGUCACUUCUAUCCUAACACAUAAAUGCAACCUAAAGGAUUUUGAGACAUGAGAUAUUCGAAAAGUUUAUUUAUUUAUUUUUUUUUACUAGAUUCUGUGAUUGUAUGAUAUAUGUGGCAAUGCCGUUGUGAAUAAUGUUCUAAGUUGUUUCUUUGAAUUCCUUUGACAAGAUGAGUUUUGAGUCGAAAUCAGUAGCAGGAAUUAUUAUAAUUUUUACUUAAAGGAAAGGCUGAGGUAAAAUCUAUAAUCUUCCAUGAUUACAAAGUUAGAUGUAAUAUUCUAAAUGUCUCUCCAGGCUUGCUUGCUUCUGUACUUUUUGAUAAGUACAUUUAUUUUUUUCUGUCUUUAGCUAAUUUUUGUUCAACUAAUCAGUGGGCACUUUUCCUUCACAAGUUGAGAGGCAAAACAGUUCAAUUCCUACUGUCAUCGUGAUUGGUGGUGGUAUUUCAGGGCUUGCUGCUGCACGAAUGCUGCACGAUGCAUCUUUUAAGGUUAGCGUACUGACAUGUACAUAUGAGUCUAGAGUUUUUUAGUUGUAUGUUGGGAUAGGGUAUUCACAUGCAUCAAUUGGCUAAUCGUUGUUAUUUUGUUUAAGGUGAUCUUGCUGGAAUCACGGGAUAGACUCGGUGGCCGCAUUCAUACUGACUAUUCAUUUGGCUAUCCAGUGGAUUUAGGAGCAUCCUGGUGUUUGUUUUUCUUUCUCACUCAUAUUUGAUCUUAUAUGAACCUUUACCUUACUCUUGUUUAUCCCUUCUCUUGCUUAGUAUCGUGCUUAUUAUAGAUUUUCACUCAUAUUCUAGCAAUGUGAUUGCCUUGUUUUUGGGAAUUAAUGCACUUUAAAUAUGCUGACAUAGAUAAGGUUGAUACAUAUUCUAGUUUUUUUUGGGAUGUUAAUGCUCAUUAAUCAUGUCUUGAAAACCCAAUUAAUUUCUCUAGAAGCUCAGAAAAAGAUCUCUUUUCUUCCUCAUGUAUCAUUUGGCUCUUUAACCUUGCUUUACCAGUACCUGUAAUCUGUGUUGGGUUUACUUGAAAAGUAUUGUUUGUAAAUGUGAAGCAACUGAUAGAUAGAAUCCUCAAUGUGUUAAUUCAUUUCAUGUUACAAUCUAGGCUACAUGGUGUUUGCAAUGAGAAUCCUUUGGCUCCGCUGAUACGAGGUCUGGGGCUUAAAUUAUACCGUACUAGUGGUGACAACUCUGUAUUGUAUGACCAUGAUCUUGAGAGGUCAGUCAUUGCUAGUUUUACAUUUAUAUCCUCUGCAAUUCACUUCAGAUGUUGCAUUAAGCAGACUUCUAAGUUUUCCUUUUGCCUUUUAAUUUUAUGUGUGUUUGUGGUUAAAUUAUGCAUUUCAAAUCCUACAGUUUUUUCGUAUCCCAGUUCUUAAUUGUUUCAUGGAGCAAAUUGCAUCCAAUAUUAUUACCUUUGCAUUCUAGCUUUGAAACCAAUGUUGUAUUCCUGUAUCUUUCAGAACAUACAAGAUCAUACAAACAUUGGCCAACUUCUUUUUACAAUGAAUAAAGUUAUACAUGCUCCUAAUUGAAUGAUGAAUUGAUUAAUAGGCCGCAGUCCUACCUAUAAUUUGGUAGAAAAAGCUUGGAUCGAAGCUGCAAUGUUUUGAACCUUAUGAUUUACGAUUGUGGUUCUUAUUAAUUUUUUCCAAACUUUUGUCAAGAGGAUUUGGGUUUGCCCUUUCAGUUAUACCCUUUUUGACAAGGAAGGACAUUAAGUUCCACAACAGAUGGUCAUUGAAGUUGGAGAUACAUUCAAAAGAAUUCUCGAGGAGGUAGAUCUUCUCACUAAUUUCUGUGACGAGAACCCUUCUUUUAUGAUUAGAAAUUACCCUCUUCUACAGAAACCAAACUAAGUCCUUUGUUUACACCUUUAGACUGAGAAAGUAAGAGAUGAACACACUGAUGACAUGUCUGUUCUUCAAGCAAUUUGGAUUGUGCUAGAUAAGCAUCCAGAAUUAAGGUAUGGUUAAAAGAACAAUGUGUAACAAAUUCAAGUUUUGGAUUUUCUCAGCAUGGAGUCUUGGAACUGCUAAUAAAACUUCCAAUGUCUUUAGGCAAGAAGGACUUGCAUAUGAAGUGCUGCAAUGGUACAUCUGUAGAAUGGAAGCAUGGUUUGCGGCAGAUGCUGAUAUGAUAUCACUGAAAUCUUGGGAUCAGGCAAGUGGACUAUUGAUCUUCUGAAUCUCUCCUAAAUUGCUUUGCAUUGUUCUGCAAUUUGUCUUGAACUGUGUGAGGAUGAUUUUGCUUUAAUGCACCUUUUCUUUUCUCACAACAUUGCAAUAUGUCAAAAAAUGCUUUGCCUUAAAAGACUCAACUUGAAAAAGAGUUGAUUACCAUUACGGGUUGGCUUAAGAUUCAGAAUUUUUUUUGCUUAGAGAUAGCAGAAGCUAAGAAAUUAGUGAAUGUUUUUUGAGAAUCUUAGAUUGCAGAAGUUGUACAUUGCAAAAUUCUAUACAAAGCUGUGCUAUGUUAAGGUCACUUUGAGUGUAUCUUUAGAUGAACGAUGACACUGUUGAGGGCACUUCUUCACAUGUAGGAGCAAGUUCUUUCCGGAGGUCAUGGUCUUAUGGUGCAAGGUUAUGAUCCUAUAAUAAAGGCUCUUGCAAAAGAUAUUGAUAUACAGUUGAAUCACAGGUAUACUUGCUCAUAUCUUAAUAUUAUGGACAUGUUCUUGUUUUCUGAAUUUAAAAGGUGUUAUAUGGUGCUUCCCGAAGUGAAUGAUUUUCUUUCUUUAAUAAAUUGUGACGAGUAGGGUUGCAAAAAUAUCGAACGGGCCUAAUAAGGUGAUGGUCACAGUAGAGGAUGGGACAGCCUUUAUUGCUGAUGCAGCUAUCAUUACAGUACCCCUUGGGAUUCUCAAAGCCAACUUAAUUCAUUUUGAGCCAAAGCUGCCACAGUGGAAGGUUGAUGCAAUUUCAGAUCUUGGUUUUGGCUAUGAAAACAAGAUUGCAUUGCAAUUUGAUAAAGUAUUUUGGCCAGAUUUGGAACUGUUGGGCAUUGUUGCGCCCACAUCUUAUGCCUGUGGCUACUUUCUCAAUCUUCACAAGGCAACGGGACAUCCUGUUCUUGUCUACAUGGCUGCUGGAAGGUUUGCUUACGAUCUUGAGAAGCUAUCUGACGAGUCUGCUGCAAAAUUUGUGAUGUUGCAGCUGAAGAAAAUGUUUCCUAGCGCAAAGAGCCGGUAAAUUUCAUUUAGCCCUCUGCACUGCCCUAUAAUCUCUGUUCUUGAAUUUUUUCAAUUCGGUUCUUAUGUAAAAAUGUUAUAAACUUGUAUCAUUGGCUCUGCUGGAACAGGUUCAGUAUCUUGUAACACGAUGGGGAACAGACCCGAACUCACUUGGUUGUUACUCUUAUGAUCUGGUUGGAAAGCCUGAAGAUUCAUACGAGAGACUCCGCGCACCUUUGGGCAAUCUCUUCUUCGGAGGAGAAGCAGUUAGCAUGGAGGACCAUCAAGGAUCUGUGCAUGGAGCAUACACAGCUGGAAUUAUGGCUGCCGAGAGCUGUCAAAGACACCUAUUAGAGAGACUUGGCUACUUCGAUAAUCUCCACCUAGUCCCUUCUAGAGGUGCAAUCCAUGAUGCUACAUUUCCUCUCCAAAUCUCAAGGAUGUGAAAUAAUUUGUCCACAGGUAAAUAGGCAUCAUUCUCUAUGUUGGUGUUGCUAAACUUGAGAAGCAUAUGUAAUAUGCUGAUAUUUCAUUCUAGUUCCAGAACUUGAACAAGAACUUCUCUACCUUUUAUUAUAUCAUCCUCAACAUUGAGUCUCCAUUUCGCUUGUUUUUCGGUACAAAAUACAUCACAUGUGCACACCUGAAUACUCAUUAAGUCCGUUAACUUAGAGAUCAAAUCAGUUAUAUUCAUUGAUCAAACUCUUAUUAGUGCAGCAAAGCCCUGCAUGGCCUCUGACCUCUAGUUGCAAAUGGCUUGUAUGAUUGCAUGAAGUCACUAUCUCACUGCUAAAUACUCUUCAGCCUGGCUUCCAGGGAUAAGAAGGGUAUCAUAAAUUUAGACGUUCAUAGGUAGCUGUUAGUUUGAGAACAUGGCCUAACUUUCCUCUGUAAACUAUGCAAGCCAUCCACUCAUGCACUGCAGUUGAGCAUAAGCCCUCAACCUUCUUAUUCCGGCAACACAGCAUCGACAUGACACAUUUUUGCCAAGCUAUAUUAUAAUUACCCCACAGAGGAACGAAAUCCUUUUAUCCGAACUAGUUAUCUUGCCUACCUAUGCCAUCACAAAUGGCUGGAAGAUCUCAGGAUGCCCCUUGUAUUAAGCCCUAGAAAUAUUGCUGCCAUUAACAACGAAUUCAUCUCAAUAGAAGCUUCCUCACCUCCCUCCAUCUCCUCUAUGCUUGUAAAGUUGACUCGGAAGACCCGGGAUCCAAAGCCAAGCCAAUUGAACUAGGUUUCUAGUUGAACUAGACAAAACAUUGAUUCGGCUAAACAUGUUCUACUCUGAUUGACUUUUUAGUGACCCAAUUAACUUAAUUAAAACCUAGUUUGGUCACUGUCUUGUAAAAAAACAGAACAAAUCAAUGUUAUGUAAAAAAACCAAAACAUUACCGUUUUAAUAAAUUGAUUAACCCGGUGACUCUUGAGUUGACCUAGUGAUAUAAUAAUUCAGGUUAUUUUUCAAGUUGGAUCAUGUUUAACUAACAUGCUUUUAAAUAUCCUCCAUACCUGUCUUCAUAUUCAUUAAAGUCAAUUUUCAAUCAUUCAUACAAAUCUCCAUCUUCAUUGGAUAGGAAAAUAAAAGUCAUACAAAUUAUUUUAGAUUUAUAUUAAAGAAAUUAUGAGUAUACUAAAUUUUGUUAUAUAUCUACAAAGGAUGGAGGAUACUUUAUUACGUGUCUAUAUUUGAACAAGUUGAAGAUCUCUUUCUCUCUCUUUGGAUACAAAAAUCUCUUUGACCUUUAUUUAGAUUUGGAUAACGAAAGUGGAUCUCGGCCCCGUUUGUUUGCUGGAAAGUAGUUUUUUUUUGGAAAGUGAAUUCCGGGGAAAGUGAAUUCCGAGAAAGUAUUUUCCGAUGUUUGGUAGUGUAAUGGAAAAUAAGUUGGAAAACACUUUCCAGUGUUUGGUUAUGUCAUGGAAAAUGAGCUGGAAAAUAACUUAUUAACAUUUUAUUUUUCUCAAGUUUAUUAAAAUAAUAAUAAACACAUCUUACAAAUUAAAAAGUUGAAUGAGAAUAAAAUUGAAAAAAAAAAUAUAAUUUCAUAAAUUAUCUCAAAUAAAAUAAAUAAUAAUCAAAAUAAUAGAGAUCAAAUCUAAAAAAUUAAAAAAUUAAAAGAUGAAGAAAUUAAAAUAAUAAUAAUCAACAUUUCAUAAAUUAUUUCAAAUAAAAUAAGUAACAAUCAAAAGAAUGAGGACCAAAUCUGAUAGAUAAAAUUUUUUAAUAAAAAAAUGAUAAGAAAAAAGCAAAUAACAAUUAUAAAAAUAAGGACCAAAGUUAAUAUAAAAAUAAAAUUUUAAGAGAUGAAAUUGAAAAUAAAUAUUAAAAAUAUAUAUAUAUAUAGCGAUCAAAAGUUUGAGGAUCAAAUUUGAUAUAAUCAGCAAAUAAUGACAUUUCUAAAUUUUUCACAACUUCCGGAAAAUGUUUUCCCCCAAAUUUUUUAGGAAAACACUUUCCUGAAAACCAAGCCAAAUUGUCCUUUUACUGGAAAGUGUUUUCCAUUGACCAACUUUUCUAAUGGCAAACAAACACAAGAAAGUUUGGAAAGUGAUUUCCCGGAAACCACUUUCCGGAAAACAAACACAGCUAAAGGGAAAACACUUUCCUGAAAACCAAACCAAAUUUUUCAUUGACUAAAAUUGACUGGAAAGUAUUUUUCGUUGACCAACUUUCCUAAUGACAAACAAACACAGGAAAGUUUGAAAAAUGGUUUUCCGAAAACCAAUUUCCGGGAAACAAACGAGGCCCUCAUUGGAAUCGGAUUUGCGAUCCUAAGUUCAACCCAAUGGGUGUCAUCAUCAAUGGACACAUGGUUUCAUGGAAGUGGCACUCGGCCAUCAUUGAUUUGCACGACCAACAAUUCCAAAAGUUGUUUCUUUUAGUCACUAGUUUAAGUCAUAUAAAUCUUAAUAUCACUACAAACUUACAUGGUCGUUAACUUGAGGAUCUGUAAAAUUAAUUGAGAUGUACGCAAGCUAGCUCGAACAUCCACAUUAAUAAAUAAAAAGUUGUUACUUUGAACAAUAUGAAAGUCUAUUUUUUCCCCAGGCAAAGAUGAACACAAGUGACAAGGAUUCCAAUAACAGAUAUGGAACCCAUGUGUUAUUUGAUACAAGAUGGGUUUCUAGACCCAAACAUGCAUGGUGUCUGCAUCGGUAUGUUAUUUGAAAUAUGAUACGGGCACAUUAUUUAACAUGGUAACAGCUAAAAUGACACUUGAAUACCAAGUAAGGCCAUCAACUGAGAGACGAACUGAGGGUGCCCUGGCCAAGCAGCUCCUGUAACCAAGUUUUCAUCAGUGUAGCAGCGAUCUAUUGGAUCAGGUUCUAGCCAUGUUGCCCCUCCCAAGACAACAUUCAGCUUCACUGCAGGAUACGCGGUACAUUUUCUUCCCUGCAAAGAUGACUCGUAUUAGCAAUUAUACAGCCUGACACAUGAAAUAGCAUAAUAUUUGUAAUUCUAUGAUCAAGAGAAUUACGUUCCAAAUAUAGAAGAUAAAAGGGCCCUUGAAAACAAUUCUCAUGGAACUUUAAAUAUGAUGAUCAAAGAGUUUGAAUUUCACAUGUGAAGAUAUAAGCCAUGAGAAGUUGCAUACGAAAUUCUACAGAGCUAAAUCUAAUAAAAAAAGGCACCCAAUCCGGAGUUAAAGUCUGUACAGGGAAAGACUUCUCAUGGCUUAUAAUUUUAAAAGGAGUAUAAUUUUAAAUGUUAAAAGAUGCAUGGUAAAAUAAAUGUUUAAGCAUUUCCAUGUCUCCUUGAAUGUUCAAUGAUGGCAGUUUUUCUAACAAACAAAAACAUGUGCACACAACAAUAAAUUAGUUGCAUUUGCACAUAUUCUAGGUGCGUUAUGUGAAGAAAAUACACCACAUUCCUCGCAAGACAACACAAAACUACCUUAAGAACUCCGGCAGCAGCUAAGAUCUGCUGCCCAUGGCAGAUAGAUGCAACAGGCUUCUUAGAGUGCAUGAAUUCUUUCACCAAAGCAAUCACUGUCUCAUCCAGUGCCAAGUAUUCUGGAGCCCGGCCUCCAGGAAUGACAAGAGCAUCAUAAUUUGAGGCAUCCAAACCUUCAAAGCUAGCUGUUAGAGUGAAACUAUGACCAGGCUUCUCACUGUAAGUUUGGUCACCUUCAAAAUCAUGGACUGCAGUUGGGCAGGUGUCCCCGCCCUUCUUCUUGGGGCAAACUGAAUCAACAUGGCACCCAAGAGCUUCAAGAGACUGAAAAGGAACAGUUACCUCGUAAUCUUCCAUAAAAUCCUGCAAGCAAGAACAAAAGAAGCAAGGAUUCUUAGCAACUAUGAGACAACACAUGUUUCAUAAGCAUAACCUCAGUCAAUGGAAAAAAAAUUAAGAAUUAAAAACAAAUAAUUAGAACUUACCCCACAGAGAAACAAAAUUUUCUUAUCUGAACCAGUUAUCUUGCCCCCCAGUGCCCUCACAAAUAGUUGGAUGAACUCAGGAUGCCCCUCAUAUGUAGCUCCGGUGAUGAUAUUGCCAUCAGCAACACAAGCUUUCAUGGUUUCAGGUUCAACCCAAUGAGCGCCGGCAUCAAUGAGCACAGGUUUCACAGCAGGAUAUGCAGUGCAUUUCCGACCUUUUACUGAAUUUGCAGCUGCCAAGAUCAAUUGUCCAUGGCAAACAGAGGCAAUUGGCCUUCCUGAGUCAGAAAAUUUCCUGACACAAUCUAACACAGAUUCGUUCAUGGCAAGAUAUUCGGGAGCCCGUCCUCCAGGUAUCAACUUCAUCGAAUGUUGCAUUGAGAGUAAAAUUAUGACCACGACUCUCAGUAUAACUCUAAAAUCAAUAAAGUUCCAAAAAAACACCUAUCAGAACUAAGUUUAUGAAAUUGAUAUAUUAUGCUUGCACUUUAAUCAAUCAGUAGAGCUACAUCCACCAACAGCUUAUUAGAAAAACAACACAUAAAUUAUCAUAAAAAGGGAUCUUGAUGAACACAUAAUGCAUGUAAAAUGAUCAUAACCACAACCAUGCAAUUAUCAAAAUUAGCACUCAACACAACCCAUCAAGAAAUUAUCAUAUUAAUAUUAUCACUACUACACUGCCACCACAAUCGCAACCACCAUCAUCACUAAGAUCACCUCGGCCGCUACAGGCAUUCAUUUCAGUUAUCACAAAAUUAUUAUUACAUUAAGAAAAUGUCUUUUAUUAUCUUAUUAAUUAAUCAAAAAUUAAAAUUUUAAUACCAAAUAUAUGUGAAGAUUAGCCUCAAAGUAUUAGAUUUUAUCCACUAAACUACUCAAAGAAGACAUACAACAAUGAUAAAACCCAAUAAUCUGCAGAUUAAUGGAAGUAAAGUGUGAGGUAAGCAAUAUAUAUAGAGAAAAAAAAAUACAUAUUUUGAAUAAGUUAAAAUUAACUUUACAAAUCCAUAAAAAGGGAAAUUUUUUUUUCUUAUAUUCACCAAUUAUUGAAAAAAUAAUGCUAAAACUAAAGCUUCGAUGACCGAACUAAGAUAGAUCAGCAAAUUAAUAAGCUUUUUCAAAAACAGCCACAAAAAAAAAAAAAAUCCAAUAUGAUGAUUAAAUGUAUAUAAUGAGGGAGAGAGUACCUGAUAACCAGCAGAAUCAUGAAUUGCAGUGCGGCAAAUAUCCCCAGCUUUCUUGCCAGGGCAAGCAGCAUCAACAACAAUCCCAUAAGCCUGCAACGCUUGAAAUGGAACCAUAGCCUAUAAAAAACAAGAACCCACAAUUCUUCAUCAAUCCAAGAUUCAAGAAACAAUGCAAGAUAGAUAAAAACAAAAGCAGCCCACCUCAUGAUCUUCCAUGUAAUCACCACAUAACAGUAAAACACUCUUGCCCAUUUUUUAUACUGAAAAUUAAGCUUGAGCUUGAUUUCUUUCGUGGUUCUAUGCUUCUUCUUCUUCUUUUUUGUUUUUUUUUGUUUUUUUUUUUUUGUGGAGUUCGUGAGUUUUAUAGAAGUGAUGAUAUAAUUUCGGAGAGAAAUGGUGUUUUUGUUAUUGUUUUUUUUAUAAGCAUGGUUAGUUCAUGUGCUAUUUUGUCGUGAUCAACGCAAGGACAGGUCCAAAAUGGAUUUCUUUGAUAGAAGAAUCUCGAUUGUAAAGAUUUUGUGACUAAAAAUUAAAUAAUAAAGGAAUCAGUUAAAUGAAAAUAAAUAAUAACAUAAAAUAAUUAAUAUUUUUUUAUUUAAUGUUAAAGAGUAUCUAAGACAUAGAGUAUGCUUCAAUUGAGAUUUAAAAAUAUUCUUAAUAUCACUUAAAAAUGACUUAAUUUCUUUAGUUUCAAUUUUUUUAUUAAAUUUAUUUAAAUGCAUUAAAUAUAUGUGAGAUACCACACAAAAAAUGCAUUAAAUAAACACUAGGAAUGUAUCUUUAAUAUAACUUAGGUCUUAUUUGUUUAGUGUUUAAUUAAAAAGUUUUUUUAUGAUUUUUUUAUGUUUGAUUAUAUUAUGAAAAAUUAUAUAGUUAACAAAAUUUAUUUUCUUAUAAAAAAUUGAAAAUCACUUUUCAUAAAGACCUAAGAACUAAAGUGAUAUAUAUAUAUAUAUAUAUAAUACUUUAAAAUAUAAUAUUAUUAAAAAAACAUAAAUCACUAUUAUAUUUAUAUAGGAAAUAAUAUAUUAGAAUAUGUUAAUAUAUAAUAUAAAGGUAUAUUAAUUUAAUAUAUCAGUACAUAUAAUAUUUCAAUUUAAAUAAUAUUAAUUAAAAAAACAUAUUUGAAUACAAAACAUGUUAUAUUACUCAUAAUCAUACAUUUAAAUCAUAUAAAUUGUAUUAUACAAUUAGGAUAUCAUAGAAAGGAAAUUUAUUUCAAUGUUCUCCAAACACCAAAACAUAUUUGAUAAAAAUAAAAAUUGUACUAUUUAAAAAAAUAAUAACUCAAAAUAUAUUAGCUUUCAAUUUGUUUUAUUUGAUGUGUAAAAAGACCAAAAAAUAUUUUUCAAUUUAUUUUUCAUUAUACAGCUAAAUAUAUUAAUAAACUUUACUUAAAAAAAAAUAUUUGACAAGGUUUUAAAAUGAAAAAAUAUAUUAAUAUAUUUCACUCAAAAAUAUUUAACAAGGAUAUAUGUUUAUACUAUCAUAUUUAAAAUAUUUAUAGAUAGUAUAUAUAUAGUUAUAUUUUAUAAAAUAAACUAUUGUAUAUGUUAUGACCUACUUUUAUUUAACCCAUUCCUUUAUUAUUUUUAGUGAUAUUAAGGAACCAUCUUUCAUAUCUGUUUUUGUCAUUGAAAGAGUAUUGAACUUGAAGGAAUGUUUUUGAUGGUUUUUUAGGACGAGGGAAUUUAAGAGAGGUUAACUCGAGGAGGAAGGGCUAAGGAAUUUCAAGGAUGGGAAUUUUUUGUUUUCGUGACAUUCCUUUUUUUUUUUAAUUCAAAAUUAUUUUACUCGUGUUUAUCCUUCCAUUUCAAUGUUAAAUCACAAAUGUAUGUUGUUUAAAUUCUUUAUAAUCUUAUUUAAUUUAAAAUUAAGUGUAGUUCAAAAUUCUUUUUAAUUGAUUAGGUUGUAAUUUGAUCAUGCAUACAUACAUAACUGAAAUUAAUUAACAAUACAUCAUCACCAUAACGUCAUGAUCAUCUCAGAUUCCGAGAGAAAGAUCACUUGCUUUUCUACAAAGGUUGUUUACGCUAUUGUGCUUACUGCUUAGGAAGUUCCAAGUAAGGGAUAGAUUCUAAUUAGGAAGAUUGUUUCCAAAGUAAGAGAUAAAUGAAAGAAGAAGGGAAUGUCAGGAACAAAAAAUACAGGCGUUUGUGUUGCCUUUACAUGCAUGCUCGUCUAGAAAUCAAGAAGUUUGCCAUUUUGAAAACAUAACUUCACUCCCAUCUCAAUCAUUUUUCCUAUCAACUAAUUCUCCUCUCUCCACUCAAAAAGAAAAUGGCAGAAGCUUUUGCAUCCACCAUUGCACAAUCCCUUCUAGGGAAGUUAGGCUCUUUUGCUGGUCAAGAAUUUUGUUUGGCAUGGGGACUUGAAGCUGACAUUGCUCGUCUUGAAAAGAGAUUGUCAGCCAUCGCCGCAGUGCUGUCCGAUGCUGAGCAGAAACAAUCAAAGAAUGACAAGAUUCGGUUCUGGCUCAACGAUCUCAGAGAAAUCUUGUAUGAUGCAGAGGACGUGCUGGAUGAAAUCGAGUGCGAAACUUUGCGAAGGCAGGUGGUGAAAACUAGAGGGAGCACCAGUAGAAAGGUACGACGCUUCUUUUCAAGCUCUAAUAAGAUUGCAUUCCGUUUAAGAAUGGGUCAUAAGAUAAAGAGCAUCAUAGAAAGACUAGCUGAGAUUUCAUCUCUUGAGUCUGAGUUCCACCUCAGCGAGCAGGCUAUUGAUUGUAGCCAUGUCUUGCAUGAGGAAACAGGAUGAACCGAUCCUUUGAGAGCUUUUCCGGUCUUAUCGGAAGAGAAAGACAAAGAACGCAUCAUCAACCUUUUAGCAGCACCUUUAAGGUUGGUGAUGCACAUCCCUUGUCCUUCCGAUAGUAGGAAUGGGAGGCUUGGGGAAGACAUCUCUUGCCAAAUCGGUGUUGAUGCUGAAUGUAAAAAGUCAUUUUGAUCUGAAGAUGGAGGUAUGUGUUUCAGAUGAUUUUUCCUUGAAACAAGUGAUACAAAAAUUAUUAAAUCUUCAACUGGUGAAAGAUGUGCGGAUUUGAAUGAGGGUGAGCUUAAGAAAAAACUUGAAGAAAUUGUGAAUGGUAGGAAAUACUUGCUUCUUUUGGAUGAUGUUUGGAAUGAAGAUGCUAAAAAAUGGUUGUUGUUGAAGCCUUUGUUAUCAAAAGGUGCUGUGGAAGUAAGAUUAUAGUAACUACCCGUAGUCAACGUGUUGCUGAGAUUAUGGGUACUGUUACUGCGUACAACCUAAGUCUUCUUGGUCAAGAGGACUGUCUGUCGUUGUUUUACAAGUGUGCAUUCAAGGAAGGGCAAAUGGAGUUUAUCCAAAUUUGGUUGGAAUUGGGAAAGAAAUAGUGGCGAAAUGCAAGCAAGUUCCUCUGGCAGUGAUUAACAUGGGGACUCAACUGUAUGGUAAGAUUGAUGAAAAAGAGUGGGAAUCGGUGAGAGACAGUGAGAAGUGGGAAGAAGAGGGAGAUGGCAUUUUACCUGCCUUGAAAAUAAGCUAUCAAAGACUGCCGACUCACUUGAAAAGAUGCUUUCUUUAUUGUUCCGUUUUUCCAAAAGAUUACCUAUUCGGAGAUAUCUUGUUGGUGCAAUUUUGGAUGGCACAUGGGCUCAUUCUUCAAUCAUCAAAUCCAAAUGAGAAGUUGGAAGAUGUUGGCUUGCGUUAUGUGCGCGAGUUGAUCUCAAGAUGUUUCUUCCAAGAUUAUGUGGAUUGAAUUUGAGCUUUUAAGAUGCAUGAUUUAAUGCAUGAUCUUGCAUCAUCAUUGGCUCAAAAUGAGUUUUCAAUCAUAAGCUCUCAAAACCACCAAAUUUCCAAAACGACCCGUCAUUUGUCAGUUCUUGACUCUGAUUCAUUUUUUCAUAAAACUCUCCCCAAGUUCCCAAACAACUUCCAUCAAGUGCGGUCAAUAGUCUUUGCAGAUAGUAUAGUGGGGCCUACAUGCAAACAGACUUUGAGAAAUGUUUGUUAGAAUUCAAGCAUUUGCGGUCUUUGGAAUUAAUGGAUGAUUCUGAAUUUGAGGCUUUUCCGGAGAGGAUUGGCGCCUUGAAACAUUUGAGAUAUCCAUUUUGGGAACGAAAAAUAAAAAGACUCCCAAAAUCUAUUUUCAAAUUGCAAAACUUGCAAGCUCUGCUUAGGUGGAUUAGAAGAGCUGCCCAAAGAUGUGAGGUACAUGAUCAGCCUUAGAUUUUAUUUCUAGUUACUCAGCAGAAGCGGUUGCCAGAAGGUGGGAUUGGGUGUUUGGAGUGUCUUCAAACUUUAUUCAUUGUUUGUGAAAAUCUAGAAAAUUUGUGCGAAGAUAUGCAAGGUCUUAAAAGUCUUCGAAAAUUGGUUAUUUGAUGUGAUAGCUUGAUUUCUCUGCCGAGAAGCAUAAAAUGCCUAACUACUCUGGAAGAAUUAUUUAUUAUAACUGUGAAAGCUUGAUUUGAUGACAAUAGAAGAAGAGAAGAGGAAAAAAUUCAACCUCUUUCCCUUUCCCUUCGUAUUGUAAUAUUUGACAAUUACCAGCAACUAUUGCUUUACCAGAACAUUUCUUCAAGGAUCUGCAGAAUCCUUACAAACAUUUAUCAUCAGAGUGUCCAAACAUUGAGAAAUGCCAGAGUGCAUCAGCAAUUUAAAGAAACUUCAAAAUCUUGAGAUCAGUGAUUGUCCAAGGUUGAGCAAAAGGUGCGAAGGGGAACAGGAGAAGAUUGGCCCAAGAUCAAACAUAUCCCUAAAAUCAAGGAUUGACAGUGGUGAAGAAACAUCUGAUUAGGUACGGGUUAUAGUAUUUAAAUAUAUCAUAUUUAGUUUCAUUUUUAUCCAUUCUUCAAUUCCUUUUUUUCCUUUUAAAUUCUUUUCAAUGUUUAUUUGACAAACCUCUUGUGUUUUGGAGGGGCAGGUUCAAGUGGAACUCCAUCAGAUUUAACUAGAGCAAAAGAACAAGACAAGGCAUGUCGUGUCAUGAUAAAAUGCAAAGUUAACUAAUUCAUUCAGCAAUUUAAAUUUCUUUGAACUUAAUACAUCAUUAUUAAAUUCUAUUUUUGUCUAAUUUCUUCAGGUUUACUACUGUGAGGGUCCUGUCGGCUAAGAUCUUCUCAAGUUUGUCACUUACAAAGAUCAACUUAAGGCUCGGAGUGUCUGCUAUGUGUAAUUUCCUUGGCUAGUGUGUUGAUGAUUUGUCAUCAAUAAAUUGAUAAACAUUUGGUUGUUCUGAAUUAUUGGCUUGUGUCUUUAUUUUAUUCAACUUAUCUUAUUUAAAAUAUUGUUAAUUUUAUGAAGUUAAUUUUAUUAUUAUUACUAUUUUUAAUUUAUGUGUUAAUUUGUGAUUUAGUGAAUAAAUUAAAGUUUUGAUUUUGACUGAAUUUAAUUAAUUAAAUUCGUAAAGAGGGUAUUGAAAUCAUGUAGAAAAUGAAGGAUUUUAUGUGAAAGCUAGGCAAUUUUUUUUAUUUGCUUGUGCAUGUCUAUUUAUUUUCGAUUUUGAAGAAUUUAUGUCUGUUUCGUAGGCUAAUUUUUUGGAUUAGGUAUAAUGUAGAUAUGAUGGAUCUAUCUUGCUUCUUAUGCUGAACCUAUGAUAUUUCAGUGAUUUGAUUCUUCCAAUAAAGUCGACGAUUGCAUUAGGAGAAUCUCUAUGGUGUUCUCUGAUGAAUGUGAAACAUCCCCUUCCCAUACCUUCUUUAUAAUGUUAGAAAAUUUUCUAGUUUUUAGAAACUUCAUGAUGGAUGCUUGUGAUAGAUGACUUGAUAUAUUUCUGUUUCUUAUAUUUCUAUGUACAUAUUAUUAAAAUAUUUCUCAAAUUAAUCUCCCAUUAUUGAAGUUAACCUAACUCUAAUUACAUCUUCAUUCUAAUUCGGACAAUUAACGGAACUUAUCCUUGCAAACCAAGAGAGAAGGGAGGACUCAAGAUUGAUGGAUUCCUAAUGCCAAAGUACACUGAAAACUCAAUAUUUUGUCAUAAAAAUAGGGUUUUAGAUCUCUGUUAUAUUUAUCUACUCUACCUGAGGCAAGCAACACUCUUGCAAACUUUGACGUCGCCGCCUGAAAAAAAAUAAAAUACAACCGCUUACUACUAACAGCAACCAUUGACAUCGCCGCCUUCACUCUCUAGACCACCACAACCACCUCCUACUCUUUCGUUGAUAAAUUCACCUCUUUACAUCCACUUUCCAAAUCUUUUUUAUUUAUGUUAUUAUAACACGAUUUUUAACCCUUCUUAAAUAUCUAAAAAAUAUAUUUUAACGAGAAAAAAAUAUUUCAAUUAACAAAUAUUUUAAAAAAACAAGAAAAAAAAGAGAAAAAUUACUAUAAAGUGGGGAGAUUGAAAUUCGUUAAAUAAUUGAAAAUUGAAAAGCUAAGGACCAAUUUGAAAAACACAUCAAUAUUUAAGGACUAUAUGUAAUGCAAUCAAGAUGAAGUUGAGAAAAAAGGGUUGAAAUUGGCCAAAAAUAAAACAAUUAAAUAUGCAAGAACAAAACUUGAAAAGACACCAAACUUAAGGACCCUUAAAAAAAGAAAUUUUGCUGCAAUUCAAAACGUUGUCAUUUUGGAUUAAAAAACAAAACUUAAAUGCAACCGUGUUAUUCUAUCAAUAAACAAAUAUGUUUAAAAAAUUGAAAAAAGAAUAGAAAAAAUGCAUAGGAAAUUACACUAUAACAUAUAAUAAAAUCGUUUUGUGGCUCACUAUGCACUGUACAGUGCAAUCUAUAGUGAAAAAUUGAGUUAUUUUUUUUCUUAAAAAAAAAUUGUUUUUCUAUGUUUUUAUGUGUUUUUUUUUUUUGCUUUUUUCUUUGUGUUUUUUUCUUUUAAUGAUUUUUUUUUUGUUUAAUUUAGUUUGUUAAUGUUAAGUUUUUUUUUUAUUUAGUUAUCAGACUUUCAUGACACAAACCCCUGGUUUGACCGGUUAACCUGGUUUGACAAGUUAACUCGAUUUUUUUUUUGCUUUUUUUCUUUUUAAUUAAUUUUUUUCAUUUAGUUUAGUUUGUUAAUGUUAUAUUUUUUCUAUUUAAUUAUCAGAUUUUCAUGACACGUAUCCCACACUUGAUGGGUCAACCUAAUUUGAUGGUUAACCCAAUUAAUUCUGGAUUAACCCGUCAAUUCUUUUUUCUUAUUUAGUUAUCAAACUCUCAUGACACAAAUCCUAGGAUUGACGGGUUAACCUGGUUUGAAUGAUUAACCCAGUUGAUUCAAUUUUUUUUUCUUUUUCUUCAUUAGUUUUUUUCUUGUUUGUUUGGUUUUAUUUCUUUUUUUUUUUUUAAUUAAUCUAUUUAAUUAUCGCACUUUUAUGACACGACCUUACAGUCAUACCAUCAUCCAAGCCUAUUGGAUCUGGUAUUGUAGUCAGACCCACUUAAACUUGAGUCAUGCAAGCAUAAUGUUAUUAUUAAUAUUAUAAAUAUUACUUUUGGGUCAGGUGUUAUAGCCAAACCCAGGACUCUUGAGUAUAAAUUUACAAAAAAACCUAACACUUUUAAAUUUUAGGUUUUUUUUAUAUUUUGAAUGCAAAAAAAAUUGACCCACAACAUCGUGCGGGUCAUAUAACUUGUAAUAUACUAAAAUUGUGAAUAGAUCCAUGGAUUUUAUAAAGUUUAAUAAUAAUUUUUUUUUCUAAAACUAUUUUUUUUAAUUAUAUAAGAAAAAAAAAUAUUAAUAAAAUCAAGUUUAAUUAAAAAAAAAAUACUUCAUCAAACUUGUAGACUAAGGCAACAGAUUGUAUAUUUUAAUCUAUUUAUUUUUUCUAAUAAGAUCUAAUUGCAAAUUUUGUGAUUGUUUUUCAUUAAUAGCAGGACUUUCUAUUAUAUUUUUCUAUCAUAUUUUUAAAUCUAAUUUUUAACCUAAAAAAAAUUAAUUAGCAUCAUUACUAUCAUAAUUAAAAACUCUUGAGAAAGUACAUAAGAUAGGAUAGGUCAUGAUUAUCUUUGAUCUCUGAUGCAUCUCAGAUUCUGAGAAAGACAUCACUUGCUUUUCUACAAGGAUUGUUUAUGGUAUUGUGCUUACUGCUUAGGAAGUUCUAAGUAAAGGAUAGAUUCUUUAGAAGAUUUUUUCCGAAGUAAAAGAUUUGAUGAACCAUCAUACAUUCGUUCCUUCAAUCACCACAAAGUAAGGAUAAAUUUUUAUUUUUUUUUCUUUAUUUUUUCUCCCUGACCAUGCUCGAAAGAAAAUAUUUUAGGACUAGUUUGGGUCAUGGCCCAAACACUACUGGGCCAUAGUCUAUUAAAACGCUUAAAAAUCCAUGAAUCCCAUAUCCCAGCAAAACCUUGAUAAACUCUCAACGUUACCUUUUUUUUUUUUAUGGUUUUGUUGUGUUUAGUGUGUUUGAGAGUAUAAUAAUAAUUAUUUUUUAAAGUAUAUUUUAAAAAAAUAUAUUAAAAAAAAUAUUUUUUUAUUUAUAAAUAUUAUUUUGAUAUCAUUAAAUUAAAAUAAUAAGAAAAUAUUACAAAAUAUUAAUUUUAAAUAAAGAAAAAAAUAAAAAAAUUACAUUUUUUUUAUAAACAAGGUAUAAAUAAUCAAAUAAAUUAAGAACAUAUUGAUUUGUUAAACAAUAUUUUCCCUCUUUAGCAGCUUGAGAUUUGGGUAUAUAAGUAAAGAUUAAGUAAUAACAUCAAGGGUGGAAUUAUGGUUCCAUGCUAAUUUAAUUUAAAUUAAAAUGAUAUAAAAAAUAAAAAUAAAAUUUAAUUUAUAACAGUACAUUAAAAAAAUAAGACAAAUUUAAUUUAAAGUAAAAUAAAUUAAAAAAAUUAAAAUUUCUAAAACAUAUAUUUAAAAUAAAAAACAAACAAGUUAUUACUAUGCUACGCAGCUGUAAUGCACUCAUGAGAGAUUGAUUUUCCUUGUUCAUUUCAAUUGUCACAUUUACUAUGCUCCGCAGCUGUAAUGCACUCAUAAUAAUAAAUUGAUUUGUAGGCAAUAACUAACUCACUACAACACGAAAAAAACAACUGUUUGCUUUGUUUGGUCUUUGCAAAAGUUAGGAAGGGUACCGGCUAAGCUCCUUUAAUGAAAUGGGUGCAUUUAGUAAAAGCACAUAAAUUCCACCAAAAAGAACUUUUAAAAUUAAAAUAAAUUUCAAUGGUCAAAGAUAAGGCUCCGAACAUAUACUACAAAACAGAUGAUUACAAAAUUAAAUAACAAAUUUUUGAAAUUUAAUAACAUAACUUUUUUUUGAAACUAUUUUUUUAAUAAUAUAAAAAGAAAAUAGACAAUAAAAAAACUUAAGUUCAAUUAAAAAAAAAAUACUCCACCAAACUUGUAAACCAGGGCAACCGGUAUUACCUUAACAAAUCCUCAAACCAUGUUAACCUUAUAGAAAAGUAAGAUAAAAAAAACAAAUUAUAAAACUAAAUUAUUAACCAUCCCAAUAUUAUAAAAUCAAUAAAAACAAAUUUAAAACAACAAUCAUGACAAAAAUUCAAAAACAUAAAGAAAAAAGAAAGAAAGCAAAACACCGUGGGCUACUAUUGUCAUUCACAGUGCAAUGUGUGUAUGUGAACAAUGGUUGUCUCAUACCUUUAAUUUUGUUUACUUUAUAAAGUUUAAUAACUGACUUUUCUCUAAAACUAUUUUUUUAACUAUAUGAGAAAAAAUAGACUAUAAAAAAGUUAAAUUCAAUUAAAAAAAAGAUAAUUCCCCAAACUUAAAAACCAGAGCAACCUAAUUUACCUUAGCAAACCCGCAAAUCACGUUAAACUCAUAUAAAAAGAAGCAAAUUACGAAGUUAAAUUCUUAACAAUGUCAAUUUAAAAGACGAAAUCAACAAAGAUAUAUUUAAAAAAUCAUAACAAUAAUUCAAAAAAAACACCAAAAAAAAAAAAAAAGCAAAAAAGUGUGGAUUACUAUUGUAAUCCUCAGUGCAAUUGGAGAACAGUGGUUUCUCUUAUAUCCUUUAAUUUUUAAUACGUCAUAAGUUUAUUAACAUAGUUUUUUCUCUAAAACUAUUUUUUUAAUAAUAUGAGAAAAAAAUAGAAUAAAAAAAUCAAGUUCAAUUAAAACCCCAUUAAAUCUAUAAAAUAAGACAACUUGUAUUACUUCAACAAACCCACAAGUCAUACUAACCUCAUAAAAAAAAAAUAUUAUAAACUAAAUUCUCAAUCUUUUUAUUUUUCUUUUUCUAAACUAUGUGCCACCAGCAACAAGCAGCUUAAAUUCAUCUAAUCAUCGUUAUCAAGCUUUAAUUUACCAUUAGUGACUUGAAUUUGAAUCAUCACCAUCCAGAUAUUCCUUUUUGUUUCGUUCACGUCAUUUUCCUUGCUUCUAGGCCAAGAUUCAAAGCUAUUCCCCUACACAUAUUUGCCUUAUCUCAACUAUCAUUCAUUCCAAGAAAUGGACAUUCUCUGUCAUCCUCACCUUCACUGUUAUCCCCUCAACCUUCUUGUUUUUAGCACUCAAAAUCUUUGCUGGAAAAUCUAUCACAAUCCCAACUAUCCACCAGUUAAAGGCACAAACUUUAACCAGCUUCUCUGCUUCGACAGGCUCUAUGGCUGCUAAACUGAGCUUAUCGUUUCUAACUCUGGAGUGGAUUGUGUAUUCAUUGAUAGUGUAUAUGGAUUUGUUUUAUAUAUAUAAAUCAAGUAUUGAAUAAGUUCAUCCUAAUAUAAUAAUACAAUCAAUGAAUAUACACUUUUUAAAGACAUUUUCCCUUAUAAAAGAUAUAAGAAAUUCGUUCACAUAAGAAAUCAAAGAAGAAUAGCUUAGGUGGUCUCAUCAAACUAUAGAUGAAAGAUCUAUACUCUACCAUCCAAAAAUUCAUUCCCUAGUAGGCUAUAAAUAGAUCUUCAAGAGAGAGAAAAUUGAAAGCUAAUAGAACCAUCCAAAAACAAGAUUUAUCGUUAAAGGUUUCAAACAACAACAAAAAAAUUUAUUUUACUACAUACUUAUCUAUGUUAAUAAUAAUUUUUAUAUGUAUAUUAAUAGUUAUUACAAUUAUUAACAAGUUAGGAACAUAUCAAAUUUAUGGAAAAAUAGUUUUUUAAAUGGUGAUUUUGACAGAAAGGUAUUUAUAAAACAACCUAAGAGGUUUCACUACAAGAUUUCACAGUUUUACCGACGGACAUAUUCCGUCGGUGUGUGACAGAACGUUCGUCGGUAAAGUAUUUACCGACUAUAUUACCGACGGAAUACUCCCGUCGGAAUACCUUUUGUCGGUGAUUCCACAUUCCGUCGCUAUAUCGGUCGGUAAUAAAAAAACACGUUUACCGACGGUUUUACCGACGGCCCAUGCGCGCCAAAAAAAAAAAAUUUCCCGCUGGGAAUAUACCGACGGAAUAUUUUCCGUCGGUGUUAUAUAAAUACCGACGGACUAACUCCGUCGGCAAAAGUGUCGGUGAUAUUUCAUACUGACCGAAUAAAUCCGUCUGUAAAUUCGUCGGUAUUUUUAUACCGACGGAUUAUUGCCGUCGGUGAGUAUGUCGGUGAUGGGAUGGCAUACCUCAGACACUGUUUAAUGCCGACGGAUUUAUUCCGUCGGUAAAUCCCUGUGUAAUUUUUUUUUUUAAUUAUUUAGAAAAAAUAAUAUAAAUUAAUAGUAAUACAAACCAAUUAUGUAAAUAAAAUUUAUAUUAAGCAACAAAAACUCAAAGUUAAAUAAUAUUCAUUACAAAAUGAAUGUGUUUAAAAAAAAACAAUUAAUAUAAAGGUGGAGGAGGAGGAGGAGGAGGAGGGUGGGGGUUAGGCGGCCAAAAAGGAUUAGGCGCACAUGUUCCGCCUUGUGUCAUGUUCAUGACCAUUUGACGAAGCUCUUCAUAGGCCGCUCUUUGUUGUUCAGACUCUGCUCUGCGUUGUUCGUCCGCCAAUCUGUGUUGUUCGUUCGCCAAUCUUUGCUCUUCUUUGAGUUGUGUGUACGCCUCUGAUAGGUGGUCGCACCUUUGCUGCAAGGCCACAAACUCCUUAGAUUGGGAGCUCGAUACAGAUUGGGAGCUCCCACCGGUUGAAGCAGUACCGGUCGACCGCAACUUGGCAGCGGUAGUGUUGGAGAGCCCGUAAACCCGAUUUUUAUCGGGUCCACCUGACGAUCCAGCCUCCAUCCACAAAUCCGGAUCGAAUUCCGGAUGGGUCGAAGGAUCAUCCCCGUAUCUCUCCCUCAACCGAUUAUUAUAGGUCUCCUGAAAAAAAAAAAUCAUAUUCAAUUCAAUAAACAAUAAUAACUUACAAAAUAAAAUGGUUGAACAAACACACCACAAACUGUUGAGCACGGUUGUCAACGAACUGUUGCGUUUUUGGCGGUCAUGACUCCGCACGUGCGUCUCCACAAACAGCUCCAUAGGGCUCGGCUCACGUCCAAGAGACGUAGCCUAUAUAUAAUGAAAAAAAUUUAUUAACAACAAAUUAAUUGAACGAUAUAUUUCAUUUAAAUUAAUCUUACCAUCCGUUUCGCAUGUGCAGCAAACGGAACGGAGCCGCCGGUGUGCGUUGUAACCGAGCCAUGAAUUUGCCGAUUCCGGUUGCCUGCACCGGACUGUGAGCGUCGAGUGAACCGCUCAGACGUCACGUGCUGAAGAUAGUGCGGCCAUAUAUCUUCCGGGAUGUAUAUUGGUUUGAAAUCCCUCCAAACCGCAACAUCGUUCCAGCCUUGUAACCCCUUAUCCCUCGCUGUUUUUUUUGCUUUUUUCUGGGCGUCAUACCAAAAAUCACGCAACCUAAUUCACGCACGAAAAAAUUACAUUUCAAAACAUAAAUAAUUAUGUAAAAAAAAGUCGUAUUGUUUUCGAUGUUACCUAAUUGCCGCGUGAUUUUCCCACACCCUCCUCACAACACUGUCAUGUUCAUCGUCCCAGCAGAAUCGAUGCUGUAUAUAAAAAAAUAAUUUUUUAAAAUGUUAAUAAUUUAUUUACAAUUAUAACUUGAAUUUAUUAGAAAUAAGCUGAAAAUUAUAUAUUAACACGAACCUCAAAUCUAUGAAACCAUGCAUUGAUUUGAGGCAUCCAUUCAGGAUGUCUGGAUAUUUGACUCCAUUGAAACAAUGGAAUCUCCAUCGACGCUUUAAACGCCGAUGAUAUUACUCGGGCGGCCUCAAUGUUUGUGAACCUGAAAAGAAAUGAAAUUAAUUUGUGAUUACUUCAUAAAUUACGUUUUAAAUUGUUUUUUUUUUAUAUAAAAAAAACUAAAACCUUAACAAACUUACAUUGAAAGAUCGUCCUUCCACUGUGCCUCGAACUGGCGGGUAAAUUCAUUCCGCUUCGAAGGCAUGCCGCGUCUGCGAUGUGAAACAUCGCUGGAAGAGGCAGCAUCGGUUGACAGCGCAGGUGGUGUAGGUGCCUCUUCUUGAGAGGCACCUAAGGAAACAUCAUCAUCGCUGCUAGACGAACUUGAUUCGACUGGACGACCAGCUCUGGUUUUCAUUUUGCGCAUCUAAACAAUUUUAUAUUAAUAAUUGUAAAAUAAAAUUCAAAAGUUAAAAAAAAAUCGGCAGCACCUCCCCUAUACUGGAUACUACCCAAAUCCACAAACCUGCAAAUAUUAACAAUAGCCACAACCAAUCGAACCAAAUACUAUUACUAACUAUUAAUCCUAAGAUAAAUUCAACGUUAACAAUUACAAUUCACAAAUUAAUCAAUAAUUAUAUUCAAAACAAUAAAAAAUAUAACAAAAAAUAAAUUCAAUAAAUUCAACAAAUUAUACUUCAACAAAUUAACAAUUACAAUUCAACAUUAACAAUUAUAAUUCAACAAAUUCAAAAAAUUCAAAAAAUAUUCAAAUAUUCAACUUUAACUAAUUCUAAGUUAAAUUAACUAAUAACAAUUCUAACAACACAACAACAAAAAAUAUUCAAUAAAUUCAACAAUUAAAUUCAAUUAUUCAACAAUUAAAUUAACAAAUAUUCAACAAAUUCAAAAAAUUCAAAAAAAUUCAAAAUUCAACUUUAACUAAUUCUAAGUUAAAUUAACUAAUAACAAUUCUAACAACACAACAACAAAAAAUAUUCAAUAAAUUCAACAAUUAAAUUCAAUUAUUCAACAAUUAAAUUAACAAAUAUUCAACAAAUUCAAAAAAUUCAAAAAAUAUUCAAAAUUCAACUUUAACUAAUUCUAAGUUAAAUUAACUAAUAACAAUUCUAACAACACAACAACAAAAAAUAUUCAAUAAAUUCAACAAUUAAAUUCAAUUAUUCAACAAUUAAAUUAACAAAUAUUCAACAUUAAAAAAAAUUCAAAAAAAUUCAAAAAUUCAACUUUAACUAAUUCUAAGUUAAAUUAACUAAUAACAAUUCUAACAACACAACAACAAAAAAUAUUCAAUAAAUUCAACAAUUAAAUUCAAUUAUUCAACAAUUAAAUUAACAAAUAUUCAACAAAUUCAAAAAAUUCAAAAAAAAUUCAAAAAAUUCAACUUUAACUAAUUCUAAGUUAAAUUAACUAAUAACAAUUCUAACAACACAAAAACAAAAAAUAUUCAAUAAAUUCAACAAUUAAAUUCAAUUAUUCAACAAUUAAAUUAACAAAUAUUCAACAAAUUCAAAAAAUAUUCAAAAAAUUAAAAAAAAAAGGAACGAAAUAUACAUACCUUAAUAAUGUGUCAAAUUCAAAACUUUAUCUACAUUGCAACAAAAAACACCAACACAACAAAAAUAAAAACAACUAAAAAUAAAAUAAAAUAAAAUAAAUUAGAAAAAAAACACAUACCUUUUGAUAUAAUGAAGAUUUACAACACCAAAUCUUGCUAGAGAUUAAAGGUGAAAGUGUUUAAGGAUUGAGGGGGAAAAAAAUGAAAAAUCUAAGGUGAAAAACGGAGGAGAAGCGAAGAAGCGGCGGGGAGAAGAAGAAAAAAUGAGGCGAAGCGGCGGGGCUGGAACUUAUAGGUCAAUUUUACCGACGGAUCACCGACGGUAACAUCCGUCGGUAAAGGUCAAAAAAUUCCGUCGGUAACAGUCAAACUUCCGUCGGUAUUUUUCGAAUUUCGCCCCAAUUUUUAAAAGCCCUCCAAAUUUUCGCAGUCCGUCGGUGAUUCCGUCGGUAAUCUGACAAGUUCAGAGGCGCAUUAAUUAACGCACUUUGGAAAACGCGCGGUCCGUCGGUAAUUCUGUCGGUAAUAUGUGUAACCGACAAAUUACCGACGGACCUAAGCCGUCGGUAAUCCCGUCGAUGGUGGUGUUAUGUUUUCGAGCUUACUGUGAGAUGCCGACGGAUAUUCCGUUGGUAAUCCCGUCGAUGGUGGUGGAUGUUUUUUCGAGCUUACUGUGAGAUGCCGACGGAUAUUUUCCGUCGGUAAUCCCGUCGAUGGUGGUGGAUGUUUUUCGAACUCUCUGUGAGAUACCGACGGAUUUAUCCGUCGGUAUAUUGUCGGUGAAGCCGUCGGUAAUGUCGUCGGUGUUGGUGGCAUUUCGCGUAAAUAUUUCGAACUCUCUGUGAGAUACCGACGGAUGGUGUCCGUCGGUAUACGUCGGUGAUUGUGCAUUAUGCAGGAAAGGUUGUCUUUGUAUUGCCUGUUUACCUUCCUGCAAUAACUUAACUGAUAAACUGUCUAUCACAUAAAACAAUAACCACAUUGCUUAAACAAUAAAUAUUUUGUUUUACAAAAUACAUCAUCAAUAAUCUAAAUUACAUGAGACAAAUGUUUUUACAUAGGGCUUCAUUUUCAUAAUUAGUCGGAAUUUUCUUCUUCUUCCUCAUCAAUUGAAUUGUCAUCAUCUUCAUCGCAAUCUUCAAUAUGGAUAUCAUCUUCUUCAUCGACAUUUGCUUGUCCGCUAGAGCUGAGAACAACAUUCAACUCCUCUCCGUCAAUAUCAACAAGACUAUCAUCGAGAACUCGAAAAUUUGAAUUUUCUUCCAAUUCAAUCGAAGGAGCAACUCGAUAUGGUUCAACCAACUCACGAACUUGAAAGACUUCAUCUCGCACACUUGUGUCUUCGUUCUCAUCCUGAACAACCUCGACACGACCCCGUGGUUUCGUUUUUAAAACGGACAACCAAUCAACUCUUGAACGAUCCUUUCUAAAUGAAGGGGUGUAUGUGUAAUAAACUUGUUGACAUUGCUUUGCGAAAACAAAGACAUCGUUUAUGUUGCGGAGUCUAGCUUUUGAGUUGAUUUCGACCAGACCAUGGUGCGGAUCAACUCUGAUUCCUCUGUCCGUCGUGUCAUACCAAUAGCAUUUGAAUAAAAACACUUUAUUCUGCUCGCUAUGAUAUUGCAGUUCGACGACCUCUUCUAAUCUACCAUAGUAGUCAACUUCUAACUGGCUACUUGUGGAUCCCUUAACACAAACACCGCAGUUGUAUGUCUUUCUUCCUUGCCCGUAUUCUUCAGUAUGGAAAACAUAUCCAUUGACAAAAUACCCGUUGUAGCACUUAACUUUUCUUUCAGGGCCGAGGCUUAGUGAAGACAAUGACUUGGGCGCACUCCUUCCCAUUUGAUAAACCUUGUAAAUAUAUGUAAUUAAAUGUACAUCAAUACACGGUAAAUGAACGAGAAUCUCGUAAUGACAUGCAUACGUUAGAAUGAGUUUGUGAUAGUGCUUACAUGUGUUCUGAACCAUGUGGCAAAUUGUUCAUCUUGUAAUUGAAAGAUCUGGGAUUCGGUCAGCUGCGAGUUAUUGGAGAGCAAAUAUUGUCGAUGUUGCCUGCAAGUGAUAAUGAGUGUAUGAUAUUACAAUAUAUAAUUAACAGUAUAUUACUGACAAAGUUUAAUUAGUAUUACACAUAUAUAGACUUACUGAAUAAAUGGUCUCAGCUCAUCACAGUUAAAUAGAACAUAGUUGUGUGCUUGUUUGAAUUCUAUUUCCGACAAAUAUCUUCCUCUUACGGCAUUUUUAGGUGUGGGUCGUCCAGUAUUGGAGAAUAUUGACAAGUUCCCACUGGAAGGCACUUCACCGCCAUCGUCAUGCCGUGGAACGCGAUUGAUUCUUGUUCUCAGAUGAGGUUCGAAAUAGUACGAGAUAAAUGUUGAUAUCUCUUCAACAAUAUAGGCCUCAGAUAUCGAAGCCUCAACAUGCGCCUUGUUCUUAACCUUUUUUUUUAGAUUAAACAAGUACCUGCAUUGAAGUACAAUUCAAGUAUUUUCAAAUAAGAAAAACAUAGAAAAUACUUUAAGAUAUGAAUUCCAUUGCAACUGUAAUAUCUCACCGUUCGAAUGGGUACAUCCAUCUAUACUGGACCGGUCCUCCAGCUUUUGCCUCGAACGGUAGAUGUAUAGGGAGAUGCUCCAUUGAGUCAAAAAAUGAAGGAGGGAAUAUCAUCUCAAGUUUGCAUAGUGUCUCGAUGAUAUUCGUUUGAAGCAUCUCAAUGUGCUCAACAUUCAUCUUGCUGGAGCAUAUAUCUCUGAAGAAAUGACUGAUCUCCGUUAGUGCAUCCCAUAUUCCCUUUGGCAACAAAUCACGAAAAGCUAAUGGGAUGAGUGUUUGCAUAAACACGUGGCAGUCAUGGCUCUUCAUUCCAUACAAUCUGCAGUCCUCUAUGUUAACAAGCCUUGAUAUGUUCGAUGCAUGUCCAUCCGGGAAACGCAGACUCUUAAGCCAUUUGUAGACUAGCAGUUGUGCGUUUUUCUCUAACACGAAGCUUGCCCUUGGUUUUGCAACCCGUGACUCGUCAUAAACCAACUCCAUAUUUUUACGGUUACAGUAUAAAGCUAUAUCCAAUCUAGCCUUCAUGUUGUCCUUUGUCUUCCCCUUCACAUCCAUGACGGUGUUGAAAAUAUUCUCAAACACGUUCUUUUCGAUGUGCAUGACGUCAAGGUUAUGGCGGAGAAGAUUAGUCUUCCAAUACGGAAGCUCCCAAAAGAUACUUCGCUUUACCCAAUUAUGGGUCAAACCAAAACCAGGAAACUUUUGCUUACCUGAUUGAAGGCCAAACACAAUGUCACCGUACUCUGAUACAACAUGAUGCAAUUCUUCACCAGAAAGACGCGGGGAUGCAACAUCUUUUUCAACUCUACCAACAAAGAAAUCUUUUCUGUUCUUUCUGAACCUGUGAUUAAGUGGCAAGAAGCGACGGUGACAGUCAAAAAAAGAAGCUUUACCUCCGUUUGCUAGCGUGAAUGCCUUGUUGUUUUCCAUGCAGUAUGGACAUGCGAGUUUCCCAUGCGUGCUCCAACCAGAAAGCAUUCCAUAAGCUGGAAAAUCACUGAUAGUCCACAUCAAAGCCGCCCUCAUAAGGAAAUUUUGUUUCCUCGAUAUAUCAUAAGUCAGAGAUCCGGAGGACCACAACUGCGCCAGCUCAUCUAUCAACGGUCGAAGACAAACAUCUAUAUUCCGCCCCGGGCUGCUUGGACCGGGUAUGACAGUAGAUAGAAACAUGAACUCCGGCCUCAUACACAUUCCCGGUGGCAAGUUAUAAACUGUGAGAAUGACCGGCCAACAAGAAUAGGGAGCAGCAAAUGACCCAAAUGGGUUGAACCCGUCUGUACACAACCCAAGUCGAACAUUCCUUGAUUCAGCAGAAAAGUCAGGAUGAACACUGUUAAAGCGUUUCCACGCUUCGCCGUCAGAAGGAUGCACCAUCACACCAUCAACGACAUCGUGUGUUUGGUGCCAUGUCAUGUGCUCAGCAGUCCUUGGUGACAUAAAUAACCUCUGCAGUCUAGGUGUGAUCGGGAAAUAUCUAAGUUUUUUAUAUGCCACUAGAGUCUUCCCCCUGCCAGUUCUGGGUUUGUAACGGGAAUGCCCGCAUGUCAUGCACUCGGUCAUCACAGCAUUUUCAAGGUAGUAUAACAUGCAGAAGUUAGGGCACAUGUCAAUUUUCUGGUAUCCUAAACCGAGGGGUUUCAUCAUGGACUUCGCAGCAUAGAAGUUCUCUUUGAGCCUGUUCCCUUCUGGUAAAAUGCUUCUUGCCCAAUCAAUAAUUUUGUCAUACCCGGCCUCACUCAACCCGUGAUCUGACUUGAUGGUGAACACCUGUGCCACAGCCGAUAAUUUACUGUGGUUUGUGCAGCCAUCCCAUAAUGGUUCGUCAGAAUCUUUCAACAAAUCAAAAAACCUAGCUGCCUCUGCAUUAGGUUCUUCUUCUACGAUUGGACAUUGAUUGACAUUAUCUUGAUUCAUUCUCAUUGCAUCCAUAACCAUGUUUCUGUAAGGAUUAGUGUUGUCAUUUGCCGCUUCAUGCACGUUGCUAGCACUAGAAGUUGACCCAACCACCGUUUCUCCCAUUCUCCUAUUACUAACAAAUACCUCUCCAUGUGCAUACCAACACUCGUAAUCCUCCACAAACCCUUUGUGUAGAAGAUGCAUCAUUACAACAUCUGGAUGCAGAUACUUUUUAUUUUGACACUUCCUGCAUGGACACCUAAUACCGCCUCCAGUAAAAUUUCUGGGAAUAGAUGUUGCGAAAUUAAUAAAACCCUGAACCCCGUUACAAUAAUCCAUCCUCCGCAAUCCUUGGGGUGAAUCUAGAUACAUCCAUGAACGAUCAUCCAUGACUUCUAUCGAACCUCUAUAAAAAGGACCCAUUAAUUAAGCAAGCUCUUAAUUAUUUCAAAACACAACAUGUAAUUCGGUAAUUCUACAAAUUAAGUUUUAACAAUUUUCAAACAAAUACAAUCUUACAAAAUCUAAAACAAACCAUAACAAGUAUAAAAUUAUACAUUCAUAUACUACAAGUUUGUUUGAGAAAUAACAGUAAAACAUGUACAUCUACUAAAAAAAAUACAUAUACUAAAAAAACAAUAAAAUUACAUUUAAAUGUUAAAAUUUUAAAAGAUAGAAUUACUUACAAAAAAUGAUAAAAUUCGUCGGUAAAUCAGAACACGGAUGCUGUGACCACAAAACAAAUACAACUUGUUGUGCUGAGAUGAGAAAGAUUUUGUUUUGGGGGGAGGGGGGGGCUGGUUAUUUUGCAGAUGGGGAGGGUUAGGAUUAGGAAGAAGAAGGAGAAAUGGGGGAGGAGAGUGUCGGCAGAGGGGCCAUAUAUUCACUUUUACCGACGGACUUACCGACGGGUUUUAUUCCGUCGGUGAAUCCGUCGGCGAAACCGUCGGUAAUUAUGAUGGGCAAUCGACACGUCACCGCACGGACCUGCUAUUCAAAUCCCUCGGUGAUUCCGUCGGUAGUUUUAACGGUGCACCCGUCACGUCACCGGUACGGAUCUGGCAUUUCACGCGUACGGGCCCCAGUUUUUAAUUCCGUCGGUGAUUCCGUCGGAAAAAUCACCUGCGAAACCCUCCGCGCCACUGCCCGCCCUUUUUUCAUUGAUUCUGAAUUUUCGGUCGGUAAUUCGGUCGGUAAUUACCGACGGACUAUUUCCGUCGGGAAUUACCGACCUAAUUACCGACGAAUAUUUGUCGUCGGUGAUUUCGGCCGAGAAAUACCGACAGAAAAAAUUCCGUCGGUAUGUCCGUUGGUAUUUAGCGAUCUUCUGGUAGUGUUUGUUGUUAAGAAAAAUUAAAAAGAAAAAGAUUUUAAACUUGUGAAGUUAUUAUAUAGUUUGAAACAAGCUUCUAAAUAAUUGCAUGAAAAGUUUGAUAAUAUUAUAUUGUUAAAUAAAUUUAAAAUCAAUAAAGUUAAUAAAAGUAUUUAUGUAAAAAUUAUAAAUAAAAAUUAUGUUAUUAUAUUGAUGGAUGUUAAUUUUGGGUAACAACAAAUAUAUGGUCAAAUUUUUCAAAAAAAUAAUAUUAACUAAACCAGGGGCAUCUUGCAAUGUUAAAAGAUCGUUAAUGUAAUUGCAGUUACUUUUAAAAUGUGUUUCAUUAAGAAAUGUUUUAAAAUAAUAUUGUUUUAUUUUUUAAAAAAUUAUUUUUGAUAUCUAUAUAUCAAAAUAUCUGAAAAUAUGAAAAAAAUAUUAAUUUGUAGUAAAAUAAAUAUCAAUAGCUGAAUUAAACAGAUGGAUCAAACGGAUAUAUAGAUAUCCAUUUGAUAGUGGUAGAGAUUGUCAGAUAGAAUUUGGAGCUGUAUAUGAACUCUUCCCAUAGAUGAAGGUGGUCUUGGGAUUAGCUAAUUCUAUGAUGUUUCGACUGCGUAUGAACUCAAAAAUGAUUUAGACAAAAGCAUGUCUGGCCAUCCUUGCUCUUUCGAAGCCGGGAGCUACUAACGGCUCUAAUAUUCUUUGAUGCUGAAUUGCAAAUACCUGAUAGGAGAUGGGCAUCACACGUCGUUCUGGCUGGAUCAUUGGUUCUUGUAGUGUUAUUAAACCCAGCUCGGCUCUACGGGUUGACCCGGUAGCUAGACCAGUCCGAGUUUAAUAAAAGACUGAUUGUGGCAACAAUCCGGUCAAACCCGGGCAACCCGGUGGAUCGACCCAUGACCCUGGCGAACCCGGACGAAACCCUAGUUUUUUUUUUUUUUUUCAAAUGUGAGAUUUGAAAUAUAUUAAUAUAUAUACUCUAUGUUCCCAGAAAAAAAAUUAUAUUUUUUUAAUGUGGGAUAAAAAACCUUUUGGUUUAAAUACUUCAACUAAAAAAGAUAACAUCUUUUGUACAUAUACUCUAUGUUCCCAAGAAAAAAAUCAUGUUUUUUCAAUGUGGGAUAAAAAACCUUUUCGUUUAAAUACUUCAACUUAAAAAGAUAAUAUAAUAUAUUUUUAAUCCCUUUCAUAUAUAUACUCUAUAUUCUCAUGACAAAAGUUAUGUUUUUUCAAUGUGGAAUUUGAAACCUAAUAUAUACUCUAUGUUCCUAAGAAAAAAAUCAUGUUUUUUCAUUAUGUGAUAAAAAAACUUUUGGUUUAAAUACUUCAACUUAAAAUGAUAAUAUAAUAUCUUUUCAAUAUGGGAUUUGAAAUCCUUUUGUAUAUAUACUCUAUGUUCUCAUGAAAGAAGUUAUGUUUUUUCAAUGUCGAAUAAAAAAAACUUUUUUAGUUUAAAUAGUGAAAUAAUUUUUUUUUUAAAAAUAUUAUUUAAAACUUCAUUUUAUAUAUAUAUAUAUAUAUAUAUAUAUAUAUAUAUAUAUAUAUAUAUAUUUCUAACUAGCCUAAAGCUUAAAGACAAAUGGCCUUAGAGAGCGAUGAACUCAUCAGACAGCUGCCAGCUAGCUAGAGAUAAUUGAAGACUAUUUCUUUUGACUCGGAGCAUAAUCCUCUGAGUCCGGAUCCACAUGGCAUGCAUAACCUCUCUAACUAGCCUAAAGCUUAAAGAGGAAUGGCCAUAGAGAGCGAUGAACUCAUCAGACAGCUGCCAGCUAGCCUUGCACGUCCUUAUUCACUCUUGAACUAAAGUAAUGCUAGACUUAAGACUUGAUCUCCUGCGCCUAUUGCGAUUGAUAGCUUUUCCUUCCACGCAGGUUUACUUGUGUCGGUUUCCCACGGGGUUCUAAAAUAGAUUACAGCACCUCCUGUAUUUUCUAAAAUAAUAUAUAUAUAUAUAUUUUUAAAAAAUUAUUAUUGACAAACACAUUAAAACAAUCUAUAUAAAAACAUAAAAAUAAUUUAAGUAAUUAAUGAAAAAAAUAAAAUAAAAAUUAAAUUUUUUAAUAGUAUUUUUAAAAUACAAAAGCAAACCAUUAAAAUCUUUAGAUUUGAUACCAUAAGCUACCCAAAAUAUAUUUUUUUUAAUUUUAUUUUUCAAUAAUAUGAGUUAAUUGAAAAUUAUGCUUUAUCAUUUAUUUUGAUUUAUUUUAUAUGAAAUUAUUCUAAUCUUAUAUUGAGUUGCAAGUUUGAUAGAAUAAUUUAAAUUAAUUAUUUUAUUUUUUUAUAAUUUAUUUUUUAUAAAGUUAUUUUAAUUUUAUAAUCUAAAUCAUGAGUUUGAGUAAUAUAUUUAUUGGCGUAAUAAUCUAAAUAGAAGAUUUGCUCACUAUCCUGCAAUGUUGUGAAGUAGGUUUCCAACAUUUAAUUAAAAACUCAUGAACUAAAAUACUUGGUCUCGAUUUGAGGAAGCAUGAAAUAGAUGGGAGAAUCCUCGACUAAAUGAAAGCACAUGGACUCCAAGUUAUUUUAUGAAUCAAAGAUGGAAAGAGUUCCUUUGUGACAUAAUUAUUAAACUUUGACCGGAUUUAAACGGAUUAACUUCAAAAACACACGAUUCAAAUUUUAAUUUAUAAUGAAUUUUAAAUUAAAACUAUUCACCCGAUCAAACUUUGUUGAACUAACGGAUUCACUGGACCAAACAAAACCCCGCUAAAUUAACAUAAUUCUUGUUUCUUUGAAAGAAAAUUAUUAACCCGAAUCGUUCCAGUAACUCGUAAAUUAACCGGACAAUACAUUUAUAUUGUUACAAAUGAAAUCUCAGAUAGGAUACUACAGCAAUGCCUUGGUGAGCUUUUCUAAAGCAUAGCAAUAGUGUAAUCUUCAACGAUUUCGUUACUUUAUAAAGUUGCGAUUAUAGUUUUGAAAGAAAAAAAAAAAGUGCAAAGCAAGUGGCCUUAUUGCAAUGCUCUUUGGACGAUGAAACACACAAACAUAUAAAUAUGAAUUGCUUAAAUUAAAUAUCGAGUCAUCGACUAUCAAUCUGAGUCAGACCCUAUCACCUAUAACAUGAACCAGGAUCAUGCUUUUGCGAAUUGUUGGAUGCAUCAACGGUCUACAAGCUAUGCCCAACAAGACGUCGUAGAAUUUCCUCACAUAAUGUGUCUGGUGCAAUGUUACCAUAACUAAAUCCAUUCGAGGAUUCUGGCGAGCUCUGUUCUGGUUUGCUCGUUCAUUUUACUUGAUGAACAGAGUCGUGUUUUUUUUUUAUAUAUUUAUAAAUUAGAUAUAAUUUUCAUGUAUUUUUUAAAACUUACACCAUUUUAAUUAUAUAAUUGUUCUCUAAAAUAAAUUUUAAACUGGCUCAAAAUGAGUUUUAAAUCAUAAGCUCUCAAAAACAACCAAUUUCCAAAACGACCCGUCAUUUUUCAGUUACCGAUUCCAUUUCAUUUUUUCAUCAAACUCUCCCCAAAUCCCCAAAUGAGUUCGACCAUGUGUGGUCAAUAUUCCAUGGAAGAAGCUACAACACAGUUGCAUAACUCCAAAUUACUAGUCCUUCCUUAUUAGCAACUUCUUGUAAAUUUCUUCUUUUCGACUUUUCAGACCUUAAUUUUAUGAUCAAGAAGACUCGACGACUACUCCUAUCCACUCAGAAAGCGGAACUCCACUCUUAUCUCAAUCAUUUCUUCCUAUCAAACACUUCUCCCCUUUAAAUGGCAGAAGCUUUUGCAGCCGAGAUUGCAAAAUCCCUUUUAGGGAAGUUAGGCUCUUUCGCUGUUCAAGAAUUUCGUUUGGCAUGGGGACUUGAAGAUGACCUUGCACGUCUUGAAGAGAGAUUGAAAGCCAUCAACGUGGUGCUGUCCGAUGCUGAGAAGCAACAAUCAAAGAAUGACAGGAUUCGGCUCUGGCUCCAUAUGCUCAGAGAAGUCUUGUAUGAUGCAGAGGACGUGCUGGACGAA
rnacentral:lncRNA from 1 species